GAUCCAUAGACAAACAAGAAAAGACAAGUAUAAACAAGAACAACAUCGAACACAGCUAUAAUUAGAUCCACUAGAACAAACAAUAGGUUACAAACAAGCUGAUGAAUAAUCGGCCUCCCCUGAGCCCGCAGACGAUGAUCCACCUCCCCUGAGCUUGUUGGCAACGGAUCGUCGGCCUCCCCCAAGCUCACCGGCGAUGGAUCCACCUCCCCCGAGCUUGUUCCUAGAAAUCGUCACAUCAUCGAGGUCGUCGUCACCACCCAAGGCUGUUGGCUUCUGAUGCGGCCUCUCGAGGCUCGUCGACUAUGGGCUUAGUUGGUAGAGGCGGGCGGGAGCAGAGGAGGAGAUGCGCCAAACCCCUUCACUGAGCCGCCGCUACGCCCCUCCUUCCCGCUUUGCAGCCGUCGCUGGUGGGCCGCUUUGUUGAGUUGCCGCGAGCCAUGCUCGCUUUGCAGUCACCGCCGCCGGGCCUUUUCGUGGAGUUACCGCUGCUCCAUGCCGACCGGUGAGAGAGAGAUAGGAGAGGGAGAACCGGAGAAGGAGAGGGAGAGGAGAGGAUAAGUGUGGAAGAUGAAGAGGGAGAGAGAGGAGAGGAUAAGAAAGGAGUGGUACGAGAGUGAGAGGAUAAUUUUGGGAAAAAGAAUAUAGUUGGCUGAUUUUUUUAUCUUUGGUAGCGGUGCUCCUAAUAUGCCGUCUGCAAAAAUUUCAAUUGUUGUAGACAGUCCUUUUAAGAGGUUCGCUUGCAAAAAUGUUUUUAUUUUUCCAGGUAACCAGUAUAAAACUACUUUAUACGGAAAUCAAUUUUCGCAGGCAGGUUUUGAUCAGGUACAACUUUAUAUAUUUGUACGAACGAUCAUAAUUGGGAACGUUUUAGCCUGCCUGCAGAAAUAAAUAUGGUGUCUGUGAAAAUGGUUUUUAGUAGUGCGUUUGUCUCGCUUAUAUGUUUUAGGAGCUCCGAUCUAGCCAAACGUCAUUCCCGCAUAGAUCUAAUGGUGGUGGUGAUCUUUAUAAUUAUUUUUACUUUAUCCGCUCUUAAUAUAUUUAUCUUCUACUUAGAUAAACUCCAAUGCAGUGAUCAUUAAAAAAUAAAUUUAUUUUGAGAUAAACAGAAAGAGUGAAAAAAAUAGUUAUUAUGAGAGAUGUAGCAGUAAGUUAUUGCCAUAACUAGUCUCUGUACGUAGAUCUACGUCAAAACAUACGACUACACGGGUACGGUAAUAUAUACAGUACCCCCUGUCAUUAAGCAUUUAAGCUCAAAUAAAAGGCGAGUCACGUCGCUCUCCUACAUUGACCACGGAGCUUCUCUUAGGGCACCCACAAUGGUUAUCUAUAAGCUCUCUAUAAGAGAUCCAUGUCAGUAUAUUUUCCUACUUGGAAGAUAUUAAAUGAAGAGAGAGAGCAAAGCUAUCUACUAACAUAGAGAUAGUCUAUAGAGAAAAACGAGGCAAUGCAUGAGAGAGCUAUAGAUAACUAUGUAGACAUACUGUUAAGGUGAUUUACUAUUAAUCUAGUCUAUUGCUGAGAUGUACAUGUUUUAUAGAUAGCACCUUACUUUACCAUUGUAGGUGCUCUUAGGUAUGGAGUAGCAGUAGACUAGCAGUAGGUACGUCGUUGCCGUACGUAGUAGUACUACUCAACUGCCUGAUCCGAUCGAACGAGGUGAUUAAUUAACAAGUUAUCUAACCAGACAAUCAGUAAUCACACAGAGAGCAGUUACUAAUAUUAUCACAUAUUAUCGCAUCUCGUACUAAAUUAACUUAUUAUGUGACGGAGGAAAUACCGCAUAUUUCACUGGUGAUUACUCUGUUUUCUGAUACCCCUAAGCACUAAUUAUAGUAAAACUUCCUAUAGACAAUAAUAAAAUGAAUUACCCAAAUGCCCGGCCUAGUGAGACAACCGCGACACAAGUAGUACAAUUCUACGUGCAUCAGGAAAGGGAGUUUACUUGGCACUUAGCUUCUGUAUGUAGGCUUUGAUCAGGACCAUUUUAGUAGUAUCUAAGCUCGGUAACAACUAAAACAACCAUUAAAAGGGCAUAAAUGUGAUGUCUAGCUAAAGUUUCAUAAGCUAAACAGAAACCUAUACAAAUAUCCGGUGUAUCCUUAACUUCGGUGCUCCCAUACUUCCUUAACUGCAAUUACGGUCGAUUGGGUUGACGUGUUAAGAAAACCCUAGUUAGCGAUGACGGUGUGCAAUAUUGCAGAUUAUUUGCAGCCAAAGUGGGUUCGAGCAAGAGAAGCGUUCGUGUUGUGAUGGUGAAGUCGUGUAUGUAUGGUUUAGCAAAUUGGGGGAAUUUGGAACAAUUCAGGUAUUUCACGUAAUUAAAGUAGAAAAAAAGGAUGGUAAAUUUCUUCGUUAACUGAAUUUAGAAUAAAAAAUUCAAAAUAAAUAAAUAAAAAGAAAUAUGAACUACGACUCAAAACUCUAAUGACCAUGAAUAAUAUGUACAUGGUACACACGGAUGCUUUUUUAACAGAGUUUAGUGAGGUUAGCUCUUUGAGCAUGACACACCUAUGGCAUUAUACACACAUGUACCCUAGAGACACCCACAAUCGUCCCCCCUACAACAUAUGCCACAUAUGAGGCAGCUUGGGCUUAAGCCCCACAUGGGACUUAAAAAAAUGAAUGAAAAAACACUAAACAUCAUAGAAAAUUUGAACAUAAUAAACAAUAAACAGAACUAUAUGGUUGAACCUUACCCUUGAUAACUUCCUGCCUUCGCCCCUGUCCUUCCCAAAUCCCUAAUCUCACAUGUACACACUUGAGUCCCUAAAACAUACUCAAAUAAAUGGCAAAUUCCCAACCUAACUAAUAUAUUAUAUAUUAAAAAUCCAUGAAACUUCCUACAAACGCUCCUUAGCCAUCACGUAUCCUUCUACAAACGUUUCUAAGUUGCCAAGUGGCAGUCUAAAAUCUAACCAUUGAUUUUCCUUUAAAUUAGUGGGUCUAAUAUUACCAACCAUUAGAUCAAAUAAAAAAAAUAAAACCCUCCUCUCCACACCGGUCCCCAUGUCACGCCCCAAACUAGUCCCGACCGGAACUAGCCCGUGACGCUCCAAAUUAACCUAUUAAUCGAUACCAGUCCCAGAAAACAGUGCUGGUAUCACAGGAAGACAGAUUAUCACAGCAACAGAGGUCUCUUUAUUAUAGAGUAGGAGUACAAUCAAGUCGGGCUGCGGACAGAUCCCGAGCUCACAACUGCAUUACAAAAGGGAAGCGGAAGCCAAGACUUGGACCAAACAACACAGGCGCGACUUGGAAACUAGGCCGAAACCCUAAAACUCAUCGUAGCCGGCUUGCUCCUGGAAGAACUCCUCGUCAGCGGGAUCCGCUUCAUCUUCUUCAGCAACUGGGGGGGAUUAUUUAUAUAGAGCAAGGGUGAGUACGGGAGUACUCAACAAGCCAUGGGAAAUAAGUGUUUAAUGCAGGCUUCAAAGAAAGGGCUGUUGUUUUUGCAAUUGAUUUUAUUUGAACUCUUUUCUGAAAACAACUAAGUGAGUGCUUCUCAAACGACACGGAUGAGACAGUGCGUCUCGUCCGGUCGGAGUAUGUGCAAUGUAUCAGUCUUUAAAAUUGAUCAAGAUUGGCACCCGGCCAACAACUUUCAAACGGCCACCCGGGCCAACAACUUUCAAACGGCCACCCGGGCCUAGCCGAUCCCAUCAGCUGCAGAUUUUCCAAACAACGAUCCCCUUUUCACAACAGCAAUUUCACAAGGCAGUAGUCAAACAAAACUACGCUAGGAAUCACCUCACAUCCGCCCAUGACCGUGGGCACGGCUGUUCGAACAGUUUGUUAACCUCUGCAGAGGGGGUACACUUUACCCACACGACAUUACUAACCCGGAUCACCCAGCCCGUGGGGAUCAGCCACGUCGGGAGACCUCCAAGCUUUCAUGACAAGGCAUUUCCAAAGCCGACACAGAUUUACCAUAUGCCGACGAGAGGGGUCCCAGACCAACAACAGGUUAGGUCCCAGACCAUACUGUGCCAGGAAGCCCAGGGGUCCUCCCCGACACCACCCCGGCGAAUCCACAUGUCUCUCGGCAUCAAGGCUCCCCUGAUAAGCUAAUUACUUAGCCAGGGGUGUCCCAUUCCACCCAUGUGGUCGUACUUGUCUUAUGUUCGGAUGAAAUUCCAAGGAAACGGUCCUUAAGUGCAAGAGCGGGAAACCGUACACCCGGUACGUUCCCCGGUCCGCGGUUUUGAAAAUUCAUUUAGUUCGCAAGCACCGACCCAGGUGUCGGGUUUUCCAAGCCUUUUGUAAAACCCAAGUUUUACCCAAGAAGUUUUUUCAGAUUUUAAGUUUGAAGGCGACCGUCGAUACUCGCACAGGGUGCACGAAUAUCGAGGCGCAACUAGAUGGUUACAAGGGGACAUGAUAUAACAAUUAACAAAGGAAGGAUCAAAUGCAACAAAUUAGGUAGGUCCGUCAAUCUGCCUUGCAGACGGGACAAACAGAUUAAGUGCGAUCCUAUCAAUGCAUAAUAUUUUUCAAGCAACAUAAUUAAAUUCAAAUAUAGGCUCAAGAUGUUCAAAGGUGGCUUGCCUUGCUCGAGAUCUGGAGCUUGAUCCUCGAAAUCCUCGCACUGCGGGUCUUCGGGCUCCGAAACUAUACGCAAAACGGGACAACUCAACAAACGGCGAAAAUAAAGCCCUAUUAAUGACCUCUAAGCGUGCCAUUAGAUAGAUCUAGAGAUUUGAGGAAUUUUGGAAGUUGAACAGAGUCAAACGGACUUACGGUUGGGAAGAUAUUGAAUUUCUAAGAUUAUUGGAUUUUUGGUCUAAAGGAAAAGGAUUUAAUUAAACCCUUUUGGAAAAAGAAAAGGAAGAGGGAGGGGAAAUAAACUUCCCUCGGGCGGCUAGGGCGCGACCCGAGAGAAAAGGGGCGGCUCGGCCGAGCUAAAUGGGCCGGCCUGCCCAAGAGGACACGGCCCAAUAGGGCGCGGGGAGGGGAGAGAGAGGGCGCCGGUGGACCGAGUCCAUCUCGCGUGGUCCCGGGUGGGACCCGCUUGUCAGCGGCUCGGCUCACCGUGCGGAGGGAGCACGCGGCGCGGCGCUAGGGUGUGGAGCGGGGCGCGGCGCAUGCGUGCGGUUCGCGGUGGACGCGGAUGCGGCGGGCCCACGCGCAGCCUCACGGCUCGCGGUGGACCGCGCCCGCGAGCGGGGCCGGAGGGAGCGGCUGACCGGGGUCGGCUCGACCCGGUCUUGGCCGAGCUGGCGCCGACGUGGCGCCUACGUGGCAGCCACGCGGGCCGGCGGGAGGUUGAAGAAGACGCCGGCCGGAAUAGACGGCGGACGGCGGUGGCGAGCGGCGGAGCGAAACACGGCGAUCUAGGCGAAAGCGAGCACACCGGCUGGUUGCGCGGGACGAGGGGAGUCGAGCCAACGGCUCGGAUUUGCCGGGGGAUGCUCGACGGCAGCGGAUUGCGGCGGCGGCAACCGGCGGCGGAAGAAGAGGGAAACGGCGACGAGGUCACGAGGGGCCGAUUCCCGGCGGCGAGAGCAUCUACGCGGCUACGGGAAUCCGAUGCUAGCGUUGGAUUGGGCGGAGCUACGCCGAGCGAGGCCGGCGAUGAGUGGCGCUUCCGAGCUCGGGCGGCGACAGCGGCGAGCACACGGCGAGCGAUGGCAGCAGUCGGGGCGGCGACGGCUAGCUACGGGGAGGCUACUCGUGCUACUACCCGAGUCUAAGGGGAGGAGAAGGAGCGAGGAGGAAGAACGGAGGGAGGCACUACCGUGCGGGCGGGCGCAGUUGUCACGCCCGGAAAUUCACUAGUAAUUUCCGAACUUAUUUGUGCAUAAAAUCCUCGUCCAGGAAUCAGCCGAGGUACACAAACUGACAAUUUAAUAUACAAAUCCAUCAUAAUAAUAACGUUAGACACUUACAAGAGAAAAGAAAACAGCAGCGGAAUAACGGUCUAGCGAUGGCUUCAGCCCCACUCCCACAGGCAGCUCAACUGGGGUAUAAGCCAAACGUCUUCUCCUUCUGGAUCCUUUUUCUUCAACUGAGGUUGAUUGAUUAUUGCAAGAAUGAGCAUAUGACAUACUCAACAAGCCACACAACAAAUAUGCAAGUGUACAAGGAUACCAAAGGAUGGCAUAAUAUAGGCUCAUUUGCAAAAGCAGCAUUUAGCAAAACAUUUAAGAAAAAUAAAACAGUGGAGUAAUUAAUCAGAAAUUUUAAUCAACACUGAGCAACACACCCAUGCUGCACAGGCCCAACCAUCCUGAACAACCACACCCGGCUAAACAGAUCUAACUCCAAACCAGGAGCUAAACAAUUUAUUACCAGGUAUAACAUCCAUAAUUAUUGUGAGAGGUGUGAGACUAAUCACGAAAAACAUUGCUCAACCCGCCCAUAACCGCGGGCACGGCUAUUCGAAUAGUUUUACUCUGAUCAGAGGUGUACCACUGUACCCACAAGACACAGCCUCAACAUCAUGUCUACCAUGCGUCGCGAUACUGGAAAGUACCCGAAUAGAGGCUGUGACAAUACCCUCUGCACAACACAACUCACCACAGUGCACCAUUCCUGGAUCAUAAUCACCCCCUUAUAAAACAAGGCAUGGACUCCCCAGCGACCCCCGUGGGCUUAUCUCCGCCACUUCUCAGUCUGGUGCUCCGCAAUGAAUCAUGUUAUACAAAAGGUAAAGCCGUUGCCCACGCUGGCUUGUGGUUGGCACGGUUAAUGUUUCACAACAGUAGCUCGCGAACCGGUCCUUAAUUGUCAUGAGCACGACUCUCAAAACCAUGUGCUCACAACCCACCAUUAUCAAGUUUUAGUUGGCAAGUAAUUAAUUAACCAAUCACGAUUAACCAUCGUGAACUAUCAUUAAGCCAUCAUUAAAUAAUAGUGAGUCAUAAGUUAUCCCAAUAGUGUGCCAAUGUUUCUAAGCAUGGCUAAGCAAUUACAUCUAAUAUCUAGCUGAACCAAUAUAUAAAGCUCAACUAGUCAAGUUAUAAUAACCCAAGGUAUCAAGGAAUAAAGUAAUCAAUGCAAACAGGCCAUAACAAAGGAAUAGAUUCACACCACCCAGUGACAUUCGAAAAUAAAUGCACAGUUGAAAUAAAUAGAGAAUUUAAAUAUAGGAUCAACAUGCUCAAAGGAUUGUGUUUAGGAUCUGUGUGACUUGCCUUGCAAUAAUCGGUCUUCAAUUAAUCUUCUUGAAUACUUCCGGCGCACUCACGAACCUUCGCAACGACGGAAACGACAAGCUAACACGCAAAACGAAGAAAAAUACUAAUAAAAACCAAAUAAACAAUACAUAAAAAGUAAACAAACAUGUAGAUCAUAAUUUUAGAUGAAUUAUGAGACUUGAACGGCCUCAUUCUGACUUCAUAUGAAUUUAUUAUGAAUUUUACAAGAUUAAAUCUAAUUAAAGCCCAUUUAAAAAGAAUUAAAUAAAUUUAAUUCAAUUUAUGGAUAAUUUUAAUAUGUAGAUCUUUAUUUUAUAUAACUUUUGCAACUUGAACCACAUUAUUGCGUCAGCGGCUAGGGUUUGCGGUGGACCGGGUGCACGGCAACGGUUCACGGGAACGAACGGCCGAGAUCAACCCUAUCCAAAACGGACGGCCGAGAUCGAUCGGGUCUACGGCGGCUUACGGGGAAACGAUGACGAUGGCGUCGACGAUGACGUCACCACCGGCGGCGGCUCGGCGGCUCUGGCGCGCAUGCUCGCCGGCGAACGACGGCACGGCGGCGCGAACGGAGGACACCAAAACGGUGCGGGCAUCGCGGCGAACUCACCGGUGACCAAAGCAACGGCGGAGGAGCAACGGACGACGUCGGCGACGAGGUCGAAGCGGCGGAGAAGAUCGGGUCGACAGCGGCGACGGUGCUCCGGCGGUCUUCAACGACGGCGAAGGGGCGGACGAGGACGGCGACGCGACGGCGACCACGACGGUGACCUCCCCAAGCGACGGCGACGACUGGAGCGACGGCGGCGCACGGCUGGAGCGGCGGCGACAACGGCGGCGUGAGGCGGCUCGGCGCUAGGGCUCUACCGGCGACGAGAGGCGAAGGCGAGGGUGGCGGCGGGUAGAGGAGACACCGGGGGUCCUUUUAUAGGGGCAAGGAGGCGGCGGCGAAGGCCCACGGCGACCGGCGACGCGAAGGAAACCUCGGGUUCGGAGGAAAGAGACCGAUCCGAUUCGACCUCGAAUCCACGAACUUCCAAAGCGAUUUAGACGACGCUUCCAAAAGAGAAAAGGAAGAGGAGAUCGCGAAGAUCGUUUCCCCUCAAUCGAUUCGGCCGGAAAAGGAAAGGAGCGACCGAAUUGGAAAGCGGCGGCGGCGCUAGUGUUUCGGGCGGCGGCGGCCAGAGGUAGACGAAGACUGACAGGUGGGUCCCGCCUGUCAGCGACCAAACGCGCGCGCGCGGCGGCUGCGGACUGGGCCGACUUGGGCCGGGGAGAGAGAGAGGUUUUGGGCCGGCUUUCGGCCCAAAGCCAAAAAGAGACUUUUAAAAACCUUUUUCAAUUUAAAUUAUUCAUGAAAUGCAAUUCUAUUUAUUAAAAAUACUUCCUUAGCUCAAAUAAAUCCCAGAAAAAUCUAGGAAUUAUAGAAUUAAGCAAAGUAUUUAAUGAAAUUUUAUCUGGCCCCAUUUUAUAUUGAGAUUUAUUAAUUAAAAUUAGAUCUUCUCUUCUAGGCUUUUAAAAUAAAUUCUAAUAAUUCCAAUUAAACAACAAUUUAUAAUUUAAGGAUUUUUAAACAAGAAAAGCUCUUAACAAUUAUAAUUAGAUUAUUAAUGAUCAAAUAAUUACUGAACUGUUCUUUGUAUCAUUUAGGAAUUGAGCUCUGAAAAAUCCGAGAAAAUUUCAGAGAGUUGACUUAAUCAUGGAGAAUUUAAUAAAAAUUAAAUCCAUCCAUGCUUUAUAUUUAAGAAAUUUUAUUUCCCACAUUUAACUUCACUUGUAAAUUAAAGAACAUUUAAUAUAAAUUCUAUUAUUAAUUUAUUAAAUAAUUUAUAAAUCCUGAAACAAAAAUCAGGAUGUGACAGCAGUGACGAGAGCCGACAGCGCGAAACGUGAUCAUUUCGGCCUCGGGCCGAGGAAGAGGAGGAAGAGGGUGCGGCCGAAGUCCCCUUCCACGUCCUUGCUCGUGCCGGCUCCUCCGACACGCGCAACGACGAACGGCGAUGGCGAACAGGGGCGACAGUGGCGGCGAGAGACGAAAACGAGGGAGAUUGGAGGGGGAGGAGCUUGGGUUUAAAUGGGCGACAAGGUCGGUUUGGGAGAGAGGAACCGACAUUGGACGGUCAAGCCGGCGAGCUGGCGCUCCAGCUAGCGGCCAAAACGGCGACAGGAGGUGACGCCGGCGAGAGGGAAAAAGGGAGAAAAGGGGGAGAGAAAGGGGGCUUGCCCCCUUGCCACCUUGGGAAAAGGAGGAGGGAGAGAGGGCGAUGAGGAGGAGCCCUGCUUCCUUUCCUUGGAAGCAUGCGCGGGGAGAGGCGGGGCCGAGUCGAUGACGACGACGAUGACGGCGGAGCGGUUUGGAGCGGAGCGGCGACACGGGCGACAGGCGCGGGCAGGCGCGGCAGAGGCUGACGGCGGUGGCGACCAGGCGGUCGGCCAUCACGGCACGCGCGCGCGGGAAGCAACGGGCGGCUCGGGCACGCGUGCUGGCUCGCGGGGCCGAGCGGCCGCGCGGCUGCAGGCGCGGCAGGGCAGCGGGGCCGGGUGACGCAGACGGCGCAUGCGCGGCACAGGCGGCGACUACGAGGGCGCGCACACGUGAACAACGGCGCGCGGGGGCCGAGUCGGAGGGCUCGGCUCGGCGCGGCUCACGCGCACGCGCGCACGGCGCGCGGGCAGAGCGGAGAGAGAGAGCCGGGAAGGGAGGGAGAGAGAGAGAGAGAGAGAGCCGGGGAGGGAGGGGAAGAUGGGCCGAGAGAGAUUCGGCCCAACGAAUCCGAGGGAGGCAAAAUAGACUUUUGCGGAGGGAGUUUCGGGAAGGAUUUGGAUUCGGGAUUGAACUCAACGAUAGAUCGGAGAUUUGAGAUCUGAGAUGGCACGGACACUAGACAACAAGCAAAGAAACAGAUUUCGUAAAUAGGGUUUUUAAGAGAUAGUUUUCCUGCUAGGCGCCACGACGGAACGGGCGCUACACCCCACCUCCUCUAUAUUCCCCUCCUGACCUCCACCUGUACGUACUACCUCACUCCCCUCAUCUCCUCUUCCCUUUCCUAAUCUUCAAUUUCAAUAGUUACAUGUCUUAUUUAAUUCAAGAUAUAUUUAUUCUAUGAGCCAUAUUCUUUGCAUAUCAACCAAAUAUAACAACGAACUAUUUUUUAUUUAAAAAAGUUGAUAACAUAUAUUAUAUGUCAACUUAAAUAAUUCUACAAAUAUGUUUCAACGAUAUCUAACCUUUCUAUUAUUAUAUACUCCAUCCGUCCCAUAAUAUAAGGGAUUUUGAGUUUUUUCUUGUAACGUUUGACCACUCGUCUUAUUCAAUUUUUUUAAAAUUAUUAUUUAUUUUAUUUGUGACUUACUUUAUUAUCCACAGUACUUUAAGCACAACUUUUCGUUUUUUAUAUUUGCAAAAAAAAAUAAAUAAGACGAGUGGUCAAACGUUGUAAGCAAAAACUCAAAAUCCCUUAUAUUGUGGGACGAAGGGAGUAGUAAAAGUCCAUGAAAAUUUCUAUAAUGCUCCUAAGCCACCAUAUGAUGCUCAUAUAAAUGCUCCUAUGACACCACGUGACGUUCCAAUAAAUUAUAGAAAAUCUGAGAAAAAUAACAACUAGCCUUUGAUUUCUCUAAAAUUAAUAGGCCCACUACUCCAAGCCAUUGGAUUAGAUUGAUUUUUCUCAUUCUAACAAAGAGACGUCCCCUCUUCCCAUGCAAGUAGCGUGCGUGCAAACAAUACGCACAUACAUACCUCCUCUCCGUUUCUGUUUUAAGGAAGUUCUUUUUCUGUCGGACCAAAUUAUACGUUCUAUUUAUAUCAUUAUGUUAUUUAUGAUUAAAAUCACAAAUUACAAUUAAUCACAAAUUAGAAUUUAAUACACCCGUUGACUAUAAUUUAGCUUGUAAAAAUUAUGAAAAGACAUUAUAUAUCAUUAUGAAAAAUUCUACAAACAUGCAUAGCUAAAUUAAAUCAAUAUUAUCAGAACAAAAUUUUCAUAUUUAAUUUGCCAAAAGGAAAAGAAAUAAUUCAACAACACAGGGACGCACCAUGACAUGUUUUGAAACAUGUAUAGCUAAAUUAAACGUUCACUACGUAAACAAGAAUAGUUUGAGCCGCUGCAUAAAAAAUCGAGUGCCUUUAAUUAGAGAAAAUAUUCCAAUUUUUUUCUAAAUGUGCUCAAAUAAUCCAAAUAAAAAAUGAUCUUUCAUAAGUUCCAAUUAAAAUUUCACCUUUAUAAGUUUUCAAACAUAGUGUACGGUGCAUGCCCGCGCGAAUGCGUGGGCUACCUUCCUAGUUUCUAUUUAAAACACAACUAUGUUUGUGUAAUGUAUAUUGAUAGAGUUUGAACCCUAGCCACCACCACUUCACUUCAAGCACAUCCGCAUACCACAACUUUAUUGGUGCUUCUCCACCUUAAAAUACUAUUCUAAUAACAUUGUAAAACAUACCGUUUAGUUGGUACCUUAUAUUCAAAAUUUUGGUCUCGCCAUGGUCCCUGCCUUCCCGGUGUGGCAGAUGUACUGCAACCAUGUCAAAAAGGUUUUGUUUUAUUAAAAAACAAAGUGAAUUUUCUUAAAUUACCUUCGAAAGUUCAAAAAAAAUAAAAAUGUUUUUCCUAACUGUUUCUCGCUGAAGUUCAAUUAUACAGAUAUGAUGUAAAACAUACGAUUUCAUACAUUUCAACGGUUCAACCAAGUUAUAUGGUACAGUUAGAGAUUGUAUACACGCUGGAUUUUGGUGUCUUGUAAGGGAAAUGCCAUAUUUUUAGUAGCAUACGAGGAAACUCAAGAAUUUGAGUGCCACGUAAGCUAUUUCCAAAAAAAAAUAUGUUGCUUGAAGAAUGUAUUGUUUAUGAAAUUCUAUCUUUUGCAAGGGAUGGCGGUAGUGAUCUCUUUUAAGGUUGUGGACUUGAAGAAGACGUAGUGGCAAAGCUUUUGCCAAAGGUUGCCGUCAGGCUUCAACAAGGGUGAAAUUGUUGGCUAUGGUGGUGAAGGCAUAUCAAUACCCUUAAGGAAACGGUAGCAUCGAUCUUCAACGGGGAUGGCUUGCUUUAGUAGGGGACAGUGUGUCAUUGGGUGUGAGUGUGUCAUUGGGUGUGAGGGAUAAUAUUUAGAUGGCAUAAGGAGGGUAAAAUCUAUUCAGUGUGCUCUCUCUCUCUAUUUGGUCUUAACUAGAGACCCUUUCGUAAGUCGUCCGAUGAUGGCUAAGAUAUAUAUAAACACAUGAAUGUUAUAUUGACCAAGAAACAGAUAAACGAGACCACUUGCUAGAAAAAGAGGACCACAUACUAUCUACUAGUUGUCAUGUCAAUUCACGUGCAUACUACUGAGGCUAACAUACCGUUACAAAAGUAUAUUUUCCUUUGGUAUAGGAUCUUUGAUGAGUUAUAUUUUUUAGAAGUAUAUUAUUCAUAUAUUAUUUGUAAGAUCCGUUUGAACCAUCAUACUCCACUUAAAAUAUGUGACAAAAUGAGUCUAAUAGGGCGUGUUUGGUUGCCUGGACCGCACCUGGCCCGCAUCUGGCGUGCAACCUGCAGGUUGUUUGGUUGCUUGGACGGGGGACUCAGCCAGGCCUAGGAGAUGCAAAAAGGCCCGUCGAGCCAGGCUGAGGGGAAACGGCCAAUUUGAGCUUUGCUGGGCGGCCUGGCUCGUGGCGUGCAGCGACAGGGCACGAGGCUGCACCCGCGUGUGCAGGCAGAAAGAGAUGGGGUCACCGCGCGUUGCCUCAACUCCUCGAGCGCUUCUCCCUCUUCCUCAUUUUUUCACAACGAAAAAAAGCUAGGGUUUGGGCUGCUCGCCAGGAACCUCACUGCGCCCAUCCUCCAUCGCCAGGCGGGCGUGAGCGCCGGCUCCCUCCUUCGCAGGCUGCUUGUCUCCGUUCGUCGGCAGCUGCUCGUUUCCCCCGUCGCCGGCUGCUCCUCUUCCCCCGUCACCAGCUGCUCCUCCCCCCCGUCGCCAGCUGCUUGUCUCCCACCAUCGCUGGCUGCUCAUCUUCCCCCGUCGUUGGCUGCUCGUCUUCCCUUCUUCUCCUUUCUAACAUGUCUGGGCAUGAUUUUUUGGUCUGCCCUUGUUCUUUUUAUUUUCCUUGCUGUUAGAGAUUGGGAAAGAUGGUCACUUUGAUUUUGAUUUUUAAACUGGAUAACUAUAAAUUUAUAAAUUUAUGGUUUAUGUUCCACAGCUAGAUGGUUACCACUUUUAUCAGAAUAUUCGCAUAUAUACAUGCUAAUGAUAUCGACGACGGCUGUUGAGAGGUAGAGAAAUAUAUAUACAUGUGUGUGUGUGUGUGUGUGUGUGUAUAUAUAUAUAUAUAUAUAUAUAUAUAUAUAUAUAUAUAUAUAUAUAUAUAUAUAUAUAUAUAUAUAUAUAUAUAUAUAUAUAUAUGUUACCGGCAUGCAUGAUUUUCACAUUGAUUCCUUUUUGUUAAAAAAUUACAUGAUUACUGACAGCUAGUUGUUUAAAUUUGUCAAAUAUAUGAAAUUAACGAGAUUUUCGAAAACUUGGCUUAAAUAGUAACACCAUGGUCACCAUAUGUAAGAAGAGGUCACCCAGACCCAAGGUCCAACCAACAAACCAAACACCAUCUCUAGUGUACAGCAUCCUGUCAUACAACCAACCAAACAUCAUCUCAUAUCAUCUAGGAUAAACCCAUGCAGACAACCAAACAUAGCCAAUUGCAUUAUCCUAUCCAGGUUGAGGGCACCCUGGAUGAGGGAUACGAGCCAGACUAGGGACAUACUAGCAACCAAACACACCCAUACUGAAUAUAUUCAAAUUAUUCAAAAAAAAUUUUCUUAACUCCUCUAGUGUAGUUACUUCCAAUAAUGCAAAAGGUUACUUCUAACACCGUGAAAAGUUAAUUCUUUCUAGCGGUUCAAUUACUUCUAAUACCUUGAAGAGUUAUUUUUAUUUUAUUUUUUUAUAGUUACUUCCCUCUAGGAGUGUAUUUACUUCUAAUAUUAUCAAGAGUUACUUCUAUUGUUUAAAAAGUUACUUCCCUCCAGCAGUGUAGUUACUUUUAAUAUCAUGAAGAGUUACUUUCUAUAUGACACAAGAUUUGUUUUUUUUUAAAAAAUAAUACAAUAAUUACUUUAAAUAAUGUAUGUAUUUACUUGAAAAUAUUCCCUACACUUUACUUGUGAAUUUACUCUACAUAGUUUCUUACAUCAACUCAGACAUAAUGUAAUUACUUCUAAUGCUAAUGCUAUAGAGAGUUACUUCUAUUGCAUAGCUAAGUUACUUCUACAGUUUAAAUAAAUUACUUUUAAUUAAUAAAAUAUUUAAAUAUAUUCAACAUUGAUCUCAUUUUGUCACAUAUUUUUAGUGGAGUAUAAUAGUGCAAAUAGAUCUUUAAAUAAUAUAUGAUUUAAAAGAUAUAAGCCAUCAAAGAGGUUUAAAAAAGAGCUAAAGAGAUAUUUAUAAGUGGGAUAGAGUGAUCGCUGCUUUAACCAAGCCAGCAACCGUGCACUGUGUAAUCGUGUCUCAUAAGGAGGUGCCCUAAGCUGCUUCCCUGGACUUUUGCAUUUGAGCAUUUCAAAGAUAAUCCCUUGCCAAAAGCUAUAUUUUUGUUUAUCUUUUUGAUCUUCUGGGGGCAUGGAGGGGUGCAGAAGUUCAAUUCUAGAGGAUUGUAUAAGCAUUCGGAGAUAAGAUCGACCUUUGAAACAAGUCCGGUCGUUUAAUGGAUGAGCUACUUUCUCUAGUCAUAAAUAUUAGGGACUAUCUAAAAUUCUAGCAACAGAUUUUUUAGAAAAAUCUUUCAAAUGUAAUCAGUGUAAGUUAUAUGUAAUUACUGUUUAACUAAUGUGUAAUUUUUAUUUCAGUUCAAAUUUGAAUAACUGCUCACUUGGUUAAGGCGUGAUGCGUGCGACCAGUUGGUCCUACGAUCGAAUCCCCGAUCUUGCAGUUUGCUGUGUUUUUUUAUCUCUGGCAACCAGCACGGAUCUAAUCACGAAAUCAAUGGACCAGAAAUCGAAAGAUAUCCAUAAAAAAAAAAUCUGUCGACAGAUUUGUACCCUUUCCGUAAAUAGUAAACGUUUAGCACAAAGUUUGGUCAAAAGUUUAACGCUUUGAUAUAGGAGAAGUUUGUAAAACCUAAUAAGCUUAUGAUAUUAUAAUUAAUAUUACUUUUCUAGACAAAGCCACACAAACUAUAUAUUUUAUUCGUUUUUACCUAAGCAUUUCAAAAGUUACUUACAGUCUAAGUAUCAAUACAAAGUAUCAACAGUGCUAUCAAAUCUUGUUAUAAAUGCCACAUAUUUAUGACCAGAGGGAGUAGGUUUUUUAACUUGGCUGAGUGAACUAGGUCAAAUUUCGGGUCUAAAGACCAAUAUUGCUGCAGCGUUGAUGCUGAAACCCAUUGGAUUGGAAUGUUUGGAAAAUGGGUUAGGAGAGGUGGGAUUAAAAAAUAGAAAUGAAUGGAGGGAUAUGAUGAAAUGGGUGAGAAGAAUGGAUGGCUAAGAUUAAAGCUUACCCUUUGAAGGGGUGGAAAAUCAUAUUCCAAACCCAUUUUGCAAACACAGCCAAAAAGUGUACUAUACUGAGGGUGUGUUUAGUUCACGCUAAAAUUAAAAGUUUGGUUCAAAUUGGAAUGAUGUAACAAAAAAAGUUAAAAUUUUAUGUGUGUAGGAAAGUUUUGAUAUGAUAAAAAAAUUGAAAGUUUGAAAAAAAAAACUUUGUAUCUAAACUCGGCCUUAGUCCUACGGUCCUACCAGGCCUGAGAACAGAGGUCGGAGUAUUAAUGUACCGGAUUGGACUUCAGUACGCUGCUAUCAUUUUCUUUUCAAAAGAAAAAAAAGAAAAGAUGAGUAGUACUCGUAGGACGAAAAUGUAAAGGGCUCACACCUUUAAAUACUUGUCUACCAGGCCAGGGUGCUACGUUGCUGCCAAAAACCAGGAAAACCACGCAGAGCCGGAGAAGAAAAGGACCCUAGAAAAAGGUUCAUCAGGACCACCAUUUUGCGCAAUAAUAAAGCUCACGCAGACUUGCUAAAUGGCGAGCUGCUCUUUUUCUGCCUUGCAUGUUCUUAUUACAUAGUAGUCCUAUAAGAUUUUAUAACAUUAAUGGAAAUAUAUGUGCUUGAUCGCAUCUCUGCAAAACAUUAGAUGGAAAACUUCUGCUGUCUGCAAAAACAUUAGAUGAAAAACUUCUGCCCUGAUGCUGCAGUAGUACAAGCGCUAUUGCAAAUCGUCAGCGCUAUAAAGAUGAUCAGAUUCCCCUCUCGACGUCAAUCAGCUGGUCCAGCCGGCAUGAGCAAUGGCCAUGUCAGGCGAUCAACAGUUGAAUUAACUCAAACUUCACCCCCCCCCCCCCUUGUACUGUUCUGUCUGCACGCUAAACGAUAGAGAGUUUGUAAUAAACCAUGAUGCGUUUUCCAGGCAAUCACUCGACUCUAAAUGAAUUAAGUCUGCAUCCCAGCUAGAGCCAUGCAUUAGAGGCAAACAUUCUGGUUUGCACUCCACUGCAUACAGACGAUCAUCAUAUCGAUCCUCUUCUUCAAUCAAUGCCGUGCCCAUUUCUCGCGCAUUGCCUUUUCAGAGUUUCAGUUCCUAGGACGGAGCAAUUCUGGACACAGGCUUGGACGUAAAACCUCUACCAGAUCCGUCCGAGAAAACGUUCGCUUUCAGAUGAUCUGGUGGCGAGGCCAUAUCGUCUUUCCGAAACGGUGCAAUGGCAGCGGAGCGGAUGGGCUUAACUCACCUUCCUAUUGCAGACUAGACACAGGUUAGCUCAUACUACAUACUACUAGCUACGUACUAAUGGCGUCGAUCUACUUCAGUAGGCAAUUGAAGUUUUUUGCCUACUGCUACUGAUGCAUGGCUAAUUAAACACCGGUGCCAGUGCCAAAUCACCGCAGCACGUACUGUGCGUUCCACUGUUCAGGACUUAAUUUGAUCGAUACUACUAGCAUGCAUAUCUAAGUAUAUACCCAUCGUAGCUAGCCGUAGAAUAGUAACAGCAGCAUCUAUCUGCAACCCAACGUAGGCCAUGGAAAUACGAAAUCAAACAAAAGCAAAGCAUCGAUUAAGUCUCGUUGAGAGCCAUGCCAUCGAUCAAGCUAGUACAGUAAAUAAGCAACUGGCAGGUGCCUAUAAUUUUAUGCCGUGAUGUGACAUACUGACAUUCACAGCAAGUUCUAAAGUCUGAAGGAUGUGAUGGUGCAAGUGAAGACAGUGGGAAUCGUCUGAAGUAUAUUGUAUCUACAUUAGCUAUCGCUGACACGUGGGAUCGGGUUCACCUGUUAGCCAAUACUACUGUAAGUAUAAUACCGUAGAGGAUCCGUGUCCGAAGUAGCGAAGCUAAUUUUGCUUUACAGUUUACAGUGAUGGUGGUAAAAAGAACACGGUGAAUUCUUGGGGAAGACGCACAUGCGGCUGUGUUUCGAUCGAAUGAUUCCCCUCACCUCACAGCGGUGGUCCUUCUGUACUACUGUUGCGAUUGGGCACCGGGAACAGCGGAAUAAAUGGCAAAAGCCAUCCCUGCGCUCAGGCCUUGCAAUUGCAGGUUGGCGGAAUUUUACAGAGUGUUCCAUUAGUCUCUCUACCCCGUACAUCAUCAUCACCCUUCACUGCCAGUACUGUUCCUUUUUCUCAGCCUCCCGUACAAUGUUCGCAGCAGUAAGCUGUUGAUCUGGUGGGUAGUAAGUUGGACUAGGACUUGAUGGCGUGAUAAACAGUACUGGAUUAGUACGUGAUUAAGGAUGGCGAGAUCAGAGAUUCAGAAAAUGGAUUGGAGACUUCCGUUUGUCCUCCUUGGAAACUGACAAACAUUUUUCCAGGAGAGCAAAAGCUUUACUGAGAAAUGGGAACGCUAGGAAUAGAGUACCUACCACAAACGAGCAACCAGCUAAUUUCAGAGAUCACUUUAGCCGCGACUCGUAGCAACACAUACAGGGCCCAACAAACAGCAAAUUAAAUCUGGGACGAUCGCCUGCACAAUCUGCAGGGGGAGAGAUCCACAAAUCGGCCAUGGCUAGCGCCCCGAAAUGGCAAGCGAAAUGUGCAAAGAAACCAGGAGCUAGCGGCCGGCGCGGGGAUCUCACACUCCAACCGAUCGACCGAGCUAGCAAGCAAACAACUGAAACCGGCAUGCAUGCAAUGCGACGCAAUGUGAUGCGAUGCGACGCAAUCAUGAACCAUGCACCGCCAGUCGUGACUUGCGGCAAUGGCACCGAAUUGAAUGAGUAAAACAAAUUGUUCCCAAAAACGCCGCGAGAUUUGCAAUCAAGUCAAUCGUCCAAACGGAUGGGGGCAAGGGCAAGCCGAGCGAGCUAGCCUAAGCCUAGCUAGCUACUGGUCACCUGCCCACGCCGGGGGCCGGGCCAAGCGUAUACUACUAUUGACAAGGAACAGCACGCACUCCUCCGCUCGCUCGAUCGAUCGCGCGAUAUAUGAACAAUCGCGGGACCAGCCAGUAAUUCGAUCUCUCCCUUCGAUCGGCCGCCGCGCCCGCACGCUGUGCCAGCUUCGAACUAACGAUUCGCGUUGGAAUUUGCGUCCUGUACUGGAACACUGUUGGAUCGAUCGGGUUCGCGCGCCUGACCACUCUUUGGUGCAGCGAGCUGUAGCGCGCGAGAUUCCCCCUCCCCUGCGGCAGCAACAGCGCUGGUCAGGGCAGCGCCAUGAAAGCGCAUGGCAUGCAUGCACUGCACUGCACGCACGCACGCAGAUGGAUGGAUGGAUGGAUUGGGCGAUAGAGGGGGGAAGACGACACAGGCGCCGUACGCCGUCCACGCCACUCGCGGUAGCGCGAGGAAAGGACCAUGUAGGCAUGUGUAGUGUAGCGUCCACAUAUACCAAGCAGAGGCAGAGGCAGAGACGAGCCCCGCGCCGAGUUAAAUGCACGCCCUCUGAUCGGGUGGAUGGAUGAAGUGGGAUCGCGAUUGGCAGCGAUGGUUCGUUCGUUCCUCCCGCGGCGACGGGGUGGGGCACACGUACACCGUGGGGGGUGAAAUCACGGUCCUGCCCCUACUCCUCUCGCGGGGUGGAGUUACGUACACUGACAGUGAGAGGCCACUUUGCCGGCAGGAGAUCGCGGCGCCCGAAGAAGAUAUCGAGUCGUUCGCGCGAGCCGAGUCGAGUCGUGCGUGCCGAGCCAGCCACACCGUACCCCCUCUCCUCUCCUCUAUUUAUGCCUCUACGCAGCGCAAUGUGCCUCACUCUUUCGCUUUUGGCCUCUCUCUCUCUCUCUCUCUCUCUCACACACACACACACUCUCACUGACUCUGCUGCUGCAUUAGUCACUCGCAGAGAGCCACAGCUCCCUGCAAAGAAGAUCUCUCGUAGUGAAUUGCCUCGAUCACGUACUACUACACAUAGACCUACUACUUGAGCCCGAGAGAAGAGGAGAGGAGGAAGAACCAGAGGGCGUCGAAGAUCAUCGGGGAGGAGUUUUCCUAGAGCUCGCUGCUGCUGUUGCUUUUCUCCGGCGAUGGGGCGAUCGCCGUGCUGCGAGAAGGAGGGGCUCAAGAAGGGGCCAUGGACGCCGGAGGAGGACCAGAAGCUGCUGGCCUACAUCGAGCAGCACGGCCACGGCUGCUGGCGCUCGCUACCCUCCAAGGCCGGUAAGCGCCGCUUAUCUAGCUUAAAUUUCUUCUCAACCUCUGCAAUCCUAGCUGCAAUGUUCGGUCGAGGCGAUCGAUCCUCGAGGCUGGCUACUCUCUGAACUCUGAUCUGAGGUGCAUGCAAACCGUGACAAUCGUGUGCAGGGCUGCAGCGGUGCGGCAAGAGCUGCCGACUCCGGUGGACGAACUACCUCCGGCCGGACAUCAAGAGGGGCAAGUUCAGCCUGCAGGAGGAGCAGACCAUCAUCCAGCUCCACGCCCUUCUCGGCAACAGGUGAUCGAUUACUUCGUUUUCGCAUGGAUGCAUCAUGCAUACAAGAUACGUAGUGCACAACUCUCCCUCCUGCUAGCUGCUCGCUCGUUCUUCACCUCGCACCCGGAGCACAUUUAAUUCCGUAAUCGCGAUGGAACCCUUGAUUCUCCUGCACGAAUUUUGACUGCUAGUACUUGUUGCUGACCGGCAGGUCAAGAACACACUAGCCAGUAGCCACCAUUCUGCACCGUAGUCUUGGCAGACAUUUAUGAAAGGGUUAUGCAAUGCAAGGGUUGGAACACGGAGCUUAGCCAGGGGAUGUGUAAAUUUCGCAGGCCGUGCUACUUACUUGCUGUCCCCGUACACACCUGCUUCAGCAUUUUGUCCGUAACAAACCGUACUGUCCAUAGAUUAACACACAAGCUAGGCUAAAAAUUCUUACGUUAGAACAGAAUCAUCACUUGUUUUCGUUUUGUUCACACGUAAUGCUGCAUUGCUCAUCUUUUGCCCGUCGAACAACCACGCAUUAGCUGUGAGCACAGACCAAUCAAUGCAUGCAUCAACAAGGGAAAAAGUGUGAAAAGGUUGGGCAGUGAGAGGCUCGGCCCAGAAUUUUCCUUUCUUUUCUCCCAUAUGAUUCGGCAUUCAAGCUCGUCAUUUAAGGAGGCGAGCCCCCCCAUCAUUGUGGACCAAAACUGGGGUUUGGUCCACUGUUGCCACCUGCCCCUCUUCCCAUUUUGACUCACAGCUUCCGAUCAUCUCUGCCCUCUGUCUGUACUACGCCACGCACGCCUUAAAUCACACCGCCGAUUAUUUACGUUUUCAAGAGUGCUGUUUGUUUAAUUUUGUCACUGCGAAUGGAGGGCUUUUGACGUGCGAUUUUCCUGAUCUUUUUUCUUGGCCGGCGUUGGCGUUGUUGUUGUUUUGCAGGUGGUCGGCGAUCGCGACGCACCUGCCGAAGCGCACGGACAACGAGAUCAAGAACUACUGGAACACGCACCUAAAGAAGCGGCUGGCCAAGAUGGGGAUCGACCCGGUCACGCACAAGCCGCGCUCCGACGUGGCCGGCGCGGGCGGCGGCGGCGGAGGUGCGGCCGGCGGCGCGGCGGGCGCGCAGCACGCCAAGGCCGCGGCGCACCUCAGCCACACGGCGCAGUGGGAGAGCGCGCGGCUCGAGGCGGAGGCGCGCUUGGCUCGGGAGGCCAAGCUGCGCGCGCUCGCGGCCUCCGCGACCCCGGGCGCGCCGCACCUCCCGGCACCCCCCGCGUCGGCGGCGGCGGCGGCGGCGGCUCACGGCCUCGACUCGCCGACGUCCACGCUGAGCUUCUCGGAGAGCGCGGUGCUCGCCACCGUGCUGGAGGCGCACGGCGCCGCCGCCGCGGCGGCCGCGCGCGCCGCCAUGCAGCCCAUGCAGGCGUACGACGAGGCGUGCAAGGACCAGCACUGGGGCGACGUCGACGCCGCCGACGUGGGCUUCCCCGGCGCCGGAGCGGGGUUCACGGGCCUACUCCUCGAAGGCUCCUUGAACCAGAUCCCGAGGCCGGCGGGGAGAGACGCGGAAGCCGACGGCGAGUUCCAGGAGACCGAGGAGGAGAAGAACUACUGGAACAGCAUACUGAACCUGGUGAACUCCUCGUCGGCACCUAUGUCGACGGCCGUGGUUGUGCCCGCCUCCCACGCGUACUCGCCGGCGCCGGACUUCUGAGCGGAGAAAACCUCGCCGGCAUCAAACUUGAUUCGAUCUCAUGACACAGUAAAUAGUUUAGCAAUGAUUGUCGAAUAAGAUGGGACUAAUAUUAAUGUUAGUAAUUAUUAAUCACGUUCUUGGGUUAACCUGACAAUGCUUUCGAUUAAACUUGUGGGCAAGAACUUCAACUGUUCAAGGCUGUAUCGACAUUUGAAAUUCGAUGCUUGUUUUGUUCGGUGUUCUUAUAGAAUGUGUAAAACACUGAAACUACUAUCAGAGAAUGUAGCAUCCUUACUUGCAAAGUUACUACUCCUGCUUGUUUUUUUUCAAAACUUACGAUCAUUUCAGUACUUUGUACCCGGUUCAUUUCAUUCCACUAUCAGUUUUUACUACGCCCAAGCGGUUGGCAACUGGGCACUAGCACUACUGAAGGCCAGGGUUUCCCAAACCACCGGACCGGGGUUACCACACGGUAACCGUGUAAAAUUUAUCAAAAUUUAAAAUUAUUUUUUAAAUUUAUUUGAAUUUAAGGGGGUUACCGCGGUUUCCCUUUUACCGUACCCCACGGUAAGCGCGGUAAUCGCACGGUUACAGACGGUUUUGCAAACCCUGCUGAAGGCAAACGGACGGCCUCAUCUUUUCGCUUAUACUUAUGUUUAUCAGUCAAAAUUUAAAUUUUUACCUUUAAAUUUGGGGUUGAUUUUAUUUUUUUUAUCGAAGGUUUAUUUUUCAGUCUUUGCUUUUAGAUCGUUAAAAAUAUAUAUAUAAAAGAUUUAUUCACAAAUUAUUUUUUAUUUACAAAUAUGCCAUUUCGUUUAUUCUCGAAUAACCGAGACGAUUGAGCUGUGAGCUUUUUACUUAGAUUGGAUCUGGGCCGGGCCGUUUUGUGCUGGGCCAUAUUGGGCUUUACCAUAACUUUCUAGCCCACAUCUAAUAGCUGACGAGAAGGGGAUUAUUAAGGGUAAAGAUAAGAGGAGGCAGCCCCGCACCAUCGUCUUCCUCCUCUUAUCCGCACAGGAGCCUCGGACUCGGACACGAUGCUGGCGAUGUCCGUCCACCCCGCCGCCACGCCGGCCCUCGCCUCGCGCGCCCGCAUCUCCCGGCCCAAGCUUUCCGCCGCCUCCCCCUGCACCACCUCCUCCUCCUCCACUCCACGCCUCGUCCACCUCGGCAGCAGGAGGCUUCCCCUUCGCUCGCUCCGUGGCCUCGCCGCCGCCGCCGCUUCUGGCGCCGUCGAAGCGGAGGAGGGAGAAGAGGAGAAGCAAGUCGGAGGUGGGGAUGCGAGCGCCGGCGAGGAAGCGCAGGAGGUAAUGGGCUAGUAGCCGCUCCAAACCAUGCCAGUGACUGAAAUUACGGGGUUUUUUUUUUUACCGAGUCGAGCUCAAUUUCAGAAGGAAGUGUUGUUUUUUGAAGAGGAUGGAGUUCAAUCACAUUUGGUUUCGCAUGAAUUUGAUUUUUCUUGAAUCAAUUUUGGUUACCGAACUGAUUACUUGAGCUCAUAGGUGAAAUACAGUACGAGGUGUACAUUUGGGUGAAUUCACGAGUAGAGUAAAUCUUUAGACACAAUGCACAGCUGAAAGCUUAAGAGAAGUCACAAGUAGAGUAAAUUAGAGAAGUUCUAGUCUAGUUGAGCAUGUUUGGGCACUCGGGCUGUCCUUUUGGUGCAGUUUUGCACUUCUGCAGAUAAAAGGUGUAUGCUAGUGAUGAAGAGGCGAAGAGCACAUGAAAGCAUGUCCACAAACUUGAGCGUGUGCCAUUUUUGGUUGUAUGUGUAAGCAAGAACUGAACUAUUGAACAAACUGUAGCAUUGACAGGUUUUGGUCAUGAAAGGAGUUUUUUUUCAUUCAGCUAUUUACGUGAUUAUGUAACAACAUUAACAGGCACAAUAAGUUCCUUUUUCAUCACUAUAUCAGAUUUCAGAGAUGUACACUAAAAGUGGAUUAGUUUUGAUUAUAUGGGAGUUACCCUCACAGUUGAAAAAUGGGGCCUUUUGUAGAGAAAUGAAGUUGUCAAUGGAACACGUACAGUAGUUGUUGCAAUUUAUUUUACUACGACUUGAGCUGUGUUAAAACUGCACAAUUUAUUUUACUCAGAUAUGCAAAAUCAGUAUUAGCAUUAUGAGAUUUGAAACGAAUUGAUUUUGUAUCGCAGUACAAGGUUAAGGUGCCUGAAAGGCAGGAUCCAAUGCUUGUUCUGAAGUUCAUAUGGAUGGAGAAGAACAUUGGCAUAGCCCUCGACCAGUUGGUUCCCGGCUAUGGCAGCAUUCCGUUAAGCCCAUACUACUUCUGGCCACGGAAAGAUGCCUGGGAGGAGCUAAGAGCAAAGCUGGAGGAGAAAGAGUGGAUCUCUCAGAAACAGAUGAUCAUCCUUCUGAAUCAGGCCACUGAUAUCAUCAACCUUUGGCAACAGGGUGGUGGCAGCUUGUCAACCUAAGAGGAUAUCUCAAUUCUCCCAUCCUUGAGAACCUUGUUUCUUUUUUUCUUGCUUUGGUUACACGGAUCUUUGUUGUUACAUGACCCUGUAGAUCGAUUCAAACUGUUUUCGGAUACGGUUUUGUUUAUGGAAAUGAAUUGUGAUUGAUCUCUGUAAGGUAAACGAUUUGGGCUCCAUCAUCCGCAGGGAAGAUUGCUAAUACCUCUUGAUACUACUAUACCAUGAUCCAGUUAAAUAAAUGUAACUCGAUAUUUUGAACUUGAAGAAAAAGGGGAAUUUCUUUUCUUUCGAAGAGAUUUGGGGUCACGGGGGCAUAUACCCCUUCUACUGCGAUUAACUAACACCGGUGAUGCCCUGAAAAAGCCCGGCCCGCUCCGCGCACCACGAGCCUAGGCCGUCCACGCGUAGGCCUCUGCAAAACGGGCUGCGGCAACGCGUGAGCCUGUGCGAAACGAGCGUGAAAACGCUCGUGGACUCGUGGAGUCGUCGUGGUGCCCGCGCGUCGUGCUGCGACGCUCGUUCUCACGCCGCAUGCAGCGCCGCGCCAGCUUGGUCACGGUCUCAAAAGCGUUCAAAAGGCAUGGGAGCAACUGAGCAAGGCGUAGCAGCUUAUCAUCAUCUCGGCCAAGGGGGGAGGAGGGGCAAGGCACAUGGAGGCGUUGGGUUGGAGUUGGACCUCCUAGGUAGGGAAGCAGGAAGCUGGACUCGCUAGGAAAAAAAAUAAUGGAGAACCUGUACCGCGUGUACCAGAAGAUAAGCUUAUUUAGCAGUACUGAUUUUUUUUUUUCUAAUGAAAGGAAACAGAGUAUUGUUAAGUCCCAAAGAGAUAACUUAUUUUUUUCCUCUUCGACAACGUAGUACUAACUUAGUACUAGUACUGUUUUCUAUGAUCAAAGUAGAAUAUUGUUAAGCUAGCUAGCACUACCAACUGUCCUCCCAUAAGAAAAAGGUAAGUACUACUACUAUAGUAGAGACUGACCAAUCAACUCAAUUGUGUAAUGCACUGCUCAGAUGGCAUCUUUACCUUCUUAACACUCAACUUCCUUACAGAGUAACGUGCCGCUUUAGGCUUUAUUACUUGCGAUAACCGGAGAGAGAGGCUGGCAAAGUAUACGUAGCUUCCCUAUAAAGUUGUCCAAGUUCAUCGCAGAGCUCCAGGCAGGCAGUAUAAAAAUGGGAAAUGUACACCUGAAAAGGACGAAUCAGCCCCAUUUGGGAAUCCCCUGCACGGCGUCAAUCUCGUCAUCUUGCCCUUUUCUUCCCAUCGACCUGAUGAUUGACACUUGUGGCCUCUGGGGAUUAAACUAUUGCCACCAUGGGCGAUCGAUCGAUCGAGAUUAGAGCAAGUAUAAUAGUGAGCUAUAAGAAAGCUGAAUGCUGAAGUGGAUAGGAGAAAAGAGGAGAGAGAUGAGAAGCGGGCUGUAAGUUUACAGCCGGCUUAGGCACAGGAACCAAGAAAAUCUGUGAGACAGACAUGUGAACCAUAUAUUUAUAGUGAAGAGUUAACCAUUAUACGAGUGAGCUGAUAGAUAGGCUAUAAGUAAGCAGCUGGCUGUAUUAUUAUCCUUUCUCUUAGGACGUUUUCGACAUGAUCAGGUGGUCUUUGUCUCUUAUUUUUAAGGGGAGGCUGAGUCAGAUAAGCACGGCGGUUUGGUGAGGCAUCACCCCGUGGUGCUCACAUGCAUGGGUUCCACCAUGAAUUGGAUCUCUAAAACCUAGUUUUGUUCGAGCUGCCAUGUUUAGUACUACUUCAUCAAAUUAAAAGUUCCGGUGUACGGAUCCGCUGCUGUCCUAGUCCUAGAUCGAUCCUCUGUGUCACGCUUAUGGCCUGCACUGCCGUGAGUUUGGCAAAGAAAACCGUUUGGGAUACUCACAUAUUCACAGUACAGCUUGUUCGAUCUCUCCCAUGGCUAUGUAAUUGUGUGUUUGAUUAUUUUAAAACAAAGGGAAGGAUAUUGGGUUUUAGCUUUAGUCAUGUAAAAAGAAAUGGUUUUAUAUAUUUACCGAAUCAUGAUGCAUCUGCGGAGAUAGUAACGAAAAAACACUCAUCUAAAUAAGCAAGUACAUUAACAAGCGGCAUAGGAGUGGAACGGAUCAACUUGAGGUGAUCAAUAUAAAGGGGGUUAUCACGAGUACCAUUAAUAAAAGCACAUCUAUUCACGUGAACUCGACCUCUCAGCCCAUUUGGUAGGUCAGAAAAGCGGACCUAAAACAAAUAUGCACUGUGGCUUGAUUCGCCAGCUGGAUCCAAACUGUCGAGACAAUAUUAUAAAGAGUAAAGUCCAUCACCGGUCCCUAAACUUUUACCGCUGUGUCAUCCCGGUCCCUAAACUCGCAAAUCGACCGUUUAGGUCCUCAAACUUGUUCGACUGUGUCAUCCCGUCCCUAAACUUGCAGAUCACUCGUUUAGGUCCACAAACUUGUUCAGUUGUGUCACCCCGGUCCCUAAACUUGGAUUUGAAUAUCAUCUGGAUCAAAUAGGACGGUCUAAAGACUUUAUAUUUAAAAAUAAUUCAUAACUUUUUCAUGUGAACUCUAAUGAAGAUAAACUUUAUAUCGAACUUGUAGCCCUCGACGCGAUCUACACCUUUGUAGUUGAAUUUUUUUUAUUAUAAGUCAUUUUUUGUCCCAAAAUGUAAUAUUAAAAUUAAAAUUUCAAAAUCUAUAAACAUGCAACAAUAUUUUGGGACCCUAAACAGUUUUAAUUCAAAAACUUUUCAACUACAAAGUUGUAGGUCGCGUCGAGGGCUACAAUUUUGAUAUAAAGUUUGUCUUCAUUAGAGUUCACAUGAAAAAGUUAUGAAUUAUUUUUUGAUAUAAAGUUUUUAGACCGUCCUGUUUAGGGACCGGGGUGACACAACUGAACAAGUUGGAGAACCUAAACGAGUGAUAUGCAAGUUUAGGGACCUGGAUAACACAAUCGAACAAGUUUGAGGACCUAAACGGUUGAUUUGCGAGUUUAGGGACCAGGAUGAUACAUCGGUACAAGUUUAGGGACCGGUGAUGAACUUUACUCAUAAUUAAAUGUAUAGAUAUAUGAAGGACAAAAGUAGGAUGAAAACUUCACAUAUACACAUUUUAUUUUACGAAUGUAAAUUUAUCAAACAUACUUUUAAAUAGAAGAAUAUAUUUAUCCUAUUUAACAAAUGUAGUAAGUUUUCUUAUAUUGAAAACACAAAAAAGAUUAUGCUCUGCAUAUUAAACAGAUUCUACAUAAUACGCACCAGGUACACUAGUGCGCGAGCGCCCGUAUCCUAGUUUAUAUUUUUUAGAUAAUGGAAUAACAUUCCGGCCUUUGCUCAAAGAGCUACAACCAAUUAUUACAAUCUAACACUCUAGAAGAGUGUAGUUCAACAAAACAUCAAAGACAUCGAAAACAAUCACCAAUGUUUAAAGAGAGACCAAACUAAGAUAAGGAGAACACAUUUAUUGAAGUCUAUUUGUGAAUCUCCAUCCAAAAUUGGUAAAGAGUUGCAUAACCAUCGUCUCAAGUUUCUGGCAUGCAACUUUUAUGAACUCACCAUCUUCAUUAGACCUUUGUAGUUGAGUCCAGAGCCGGAGCCAGUAUGUUGCCCUAAAAAUUACCUGCAUAUAUGUAAUAGAUGGUGAUUUAUCAAAAACCACAUUAUUUCUGCACAACCACAGAGUCCAACAUAUAGCAGAAGUUCCUAGUGUUAUAUAUUGCCAAAGACACAAUUAAUUAAGAGCACAGUUCCAUGUGGUAUUUAAAGUUUUUCAUUUAGAGUAGUAUGCUAUAAUCUUUCGUGGUUUGUUAAUGUUGACUAUUUGGCGUUUCCUUUAUUCCUAUCUUUGAUUAAUCUAUUCGAUAUUAUUAUAACCAGUUUUGCAAAUAAAUAUAUUAUAAACAGAAAAAUUUCUAAUCAAAGGUCCUACCAAAAUGCAUAUUUUAUGAUAAGAACAUCCUGUGCCUAAUGAUGGUUAUUGCUACAUUUCUUAAUAUGAUAUAUUAAUUCCACUCAUCUAGUGGGCACCAUAUUUCUGGUUUUAAUACAUAAUCUUUUUUUAGAGAAAAUACUAUACUCAUGCACGUUAUUGUGCUGUUAAUUGUCAUUGCGGUAACAAAUUAACGGAAACUUAACCAUUGCAACCAGUUCUCUGCGCGUGUUUUGAUGAUCCACCAGUCCACCACACAGGCACACAGCAUCGGUCAUGGGCAGAUUAGAAAAAAUAUACCACUUGAAUUUGCAAGCACUACACGACAAUUAUUAAGUUGACAUGGCCUAAAACCUUUGUAGCAUUCAUGAUAAACCCAGUCUGGUCAUCAUUUCUUUAAAGGGGGAAUUCACCAUAUAUAUAGAAACUAUGCAUAUAGUUUUAUUUGAAAGUUUAUAAUGUUUACAUAGUAGAUUUCAAGCCGAAAUAAUGAUGCAGUUCAUAGUCGUGCUAAAAAUUGGUUUUUGUACAAAUUAAAAUAUCUAUUUUAAUAAAACAAAGAGUGGCCCAAUAUCGACAAAAGUAGGAAACCUAUAGCCUGAAAAUUGGUCAUACAGAUAAAGGUUAUCGACAAUGCGAAUCUCCCACACGUGAUUGACCUGAUUCGUGUUAAUAUUUAUGCUAUCCUCUCUUAUCUCAUUGAUUGGAUGCACAUGCAUAGCAGUUAUAUUUCGAGAAACUUCUCUUGAACGCCAUGUCAUGGGUUAACAUGUUGUUGAAUGGUGGUUAAGAGUCCAAAGCUUAUCUUUUAUCUACUAAACUCAUACAAUGCUUACUAGCUAGCUAGCUAGGUUACUUUAAUUUGUCGGAGCUUGCACGGCUUUGUUCAUCUACCUGAUUUAUUUUAAGUUGUGCCAGAUCAAACUAUUAAAAACAACAAAUUAUUAAUACUUAUUUAAUCCACAAAAUUCUCUAAAGUAUGUUUACUUAGGCUCUACUAGACCAAUUACCAAGAGAACGGAAUCCAAACGCUGGACAACCAUUCAACCAACGAUACUCAUCGUUGUGCUUUGCACCCAUGGUCAAAGCUAUAACCACCGAUGGUUACCUUUGUUGGACAAGAUCUUGCUUUUUUUGCCCUCUGCCAUGCAGACGAUGAUUGACACUUGGAAUCCACGAGACUUUAGCAUGGCCAAAAGUUAACAGUGCCCGGAAAUUAAAAGCCAGGUCGCCGGCCGGCUUGCCGCUAGCUGCAUCUGCUGCUUGCCACAUCGGGAAGGCUGCAUCCUAUGCUCGUUUGCUACGCUGCAACGUGCAAGUCCUGUACUAUGGCGACAUUUAUCAGUAUGGCCGUCACAUGACAACGGCUGCAGUCAUUACGGUUGGCGUAUGGCCAUUGGCCAGACAUGGCCAAUUUCGAGCUCUGCACCAAAGCCUGAAACAGUGCAAGAGCAGUUGCCCGAGGAAUCGCUAGCGGCGAUCCUUUGUGGCGAAUGAUUUGAGCUACCAACAAACGCAGGGAUGCAUAUAUAUCCACAUCUCUCAAAGUUAUUUACUCUCUAAUCUAUGUCCUCUUUUGUCACCUAAUUAAGUUUAUUAGAAAUGAUGUCUUGAGAUAGGAGGAAAUUGGUCAAAACCAUUUUGAAGUCUGAACAUUUUAUUCCCAAGUUAUUAAAACUACAACAAACAAUUUGUGUUAUAUGGUUAGUGUUGCAAGACGACAACGGAUAACAAUAUUUUAUAUAUAUUAUAGGUUAUUCGGGGGGUCCAUCUACGUCGAGUUCUAACAAGGUGGGCCCUAUAUAUCGCAUCAGAUGUGGCUGUGAUUGGUCCGACGGUUCUGAAACUUAUUUAGACACGUUAGAGUGAUCAUUUUAUUCUUGCUUGCUUUAUAAGCAAUGUUAUGCGUCGCGCCCACCGUUUUUUAGAUCAUCCUGGUUUAGUGAAGAUUAAGGUUUGUAGAUGCGGUGUUUAGUUACAACCAACUAUUUCUAUUUAUAUGCGGUUGAAAGGAGAUAGAUUUCUUUUCUGAGAUAGGAAGAACAUUCGUUUUUUUAAAAAAAUAUACAUGAAGAACAAUCAUUUCGCGCGCGAAAGUGCAAUUAUAACUCAUAUACGGCUUCAUAUGGAUCCAAAGGAAUGGCCCUCAUAUGCAAUCUGCAACUAGCAUAGAGCUGAACCUAACAUAUAUAAGUGGUACUACUACUAGCUAGUAGCUAGCUAGCAACUGCUACAUUUGCUCAUCUAUGGCAGUGAUUGAACCAAAUUAUUAAUAAUUUAUUGUAUUAUUGAUGCACAUUAUAUAUUUAUUAAAGGUAUAAAUUAAAUAUUUUAAUAAAUAAAUUUAACAAAUAACUUAGAAUAAGUAGUUUAAUCAAUACACUAGAAAACGUUUUUUUUUAAGAAAUUGUAUUGUUAAAAGUGUGGAGCAAAUAAUUUGUGAUUAACCCGUGAUAAGCAAAGGUGCAAAACCAAAUGUAUUGGCUCUCGUGCGCACUGCGCAGGCCGUUCAGGGUGACGUGUUCACGUGCACUCUUGUGCAAUAAUAGAGCAUUGGUACCAUGAACCUCUUGGCUGGCUCAAACUCAGAAACGCAUAUUCACUCAAAAAGACGGACCUAGUGCUUCUCCUACGACAAGACUUCCUGUCAUCGGUGAAUGCAAUUCCUUACAGUACUUAGGGUGUGUUUUAGGGUGUGUUUAGUUAACGUUAAAAUUGGAAGUUUGGUUGAAAUUGGAACGAUGUGAUGGAAAAGUUGAAAGUUUGUAUAUGUAGGAAAGUUUUGAUGUGAUGAAAAAGUUGGAAGUUUGAAGAAAAAGUUUAGAACUAAACAAGACCUUAAUUAAAUAUUAUCCUCGUGUCAUAUCAAAAUAAAUUAACCUAGUAAAAUAUGUGACACAUUUUAACACUACGAUUAUAUCACAUCCCAUAUUAAAAUAAGAGUAAAUUGAAUCAUCGGUACACGAACUUGUCAGGUAGGUGCAAUCUAGUACACGAACUUGUAAAAUACUCGCUUUGGUAUAUGAACUUGUCUGUGCGUGCGGAGGAAGGUGAAAAAGACACUACAUAGCUAAUCUUAUUGAUUUAGGGGCUGAUUAGGAUACUAUGUAAACAUAUAUCUGAGAGAAGGUUGCUAUUAGACAUAUACCUCUUCAAUAAAACAUGGCUAAUCUUAUUGAUUUAGGGCUGGUUAGGAUACUAUGUAAACAUAUAUCUGAGAAGGUUGCUAUUAGAAAUACACCUCUUCAAUAAAAAAGCUUCAAUAAAAAAUAGAGUAGGAUAUAGCGAUAGUAGAAAAAGAUUAAAAAACCGAGCAAUGGUAUAAGGGUUAGAAAUAUACCAAAUUCAUCUUUUCCAUGAUAAAAGAUAAAAUUAGAGACCAAAUUUAUAAAUAUUGCAUGUCUUAUGUAUACUUACUACACGUAUGCACGUCAUAUCCUAAUCAACAUCAGCUUCGUAAAAUUAACAUUGCCAAGUUAUUUUUAUCCUCGUUUGCACGAACUAGACAAGUUCGUGUACUGAAACAAGCAUUUUACAAGUUUAUAUACUAAAUUGCACCCAACUAACAAGUUUAUGUACCACCAAUGCAAUUUACUCUUAAAAUAAGAUAUUUUGGAACGGAGGGAGAGAGCAUCUAUCCUUUCUUAACACUGCCUCAUGGUAGCUUAAUUUCGAGUUUAGAGAUGAGAGUGGUACCUACCCUCAUAAAAAAGCUUAUGUAUUUUAUUUCUAAAAGCCAAUAUACAUAUGGAAUGACUUUGAUGAUCUAAUAUUCUAAUUCUCUUGCAUAAAUGAAAAAGAGAGUGGUAUAAGUGUAGUAUUAUUAAAAAUAUAUAUCGUUAUGAUAAAUGUGACUAUAUUAUUUAUUUUCAUAUAUAUAUAUAUAUAUAUAUAUACCCAAAACCUACAUUUUCGAUAGAGUAGUAACUACAUAUGGUUAAGGUUAACGCGGAUUAGCUACAUAUAUAUACACAUAAUUGAAGACAACAUUAUGACCGGAGGAAUACCUAGCUAGGGCGUGUGUAUAAUGGUUUUAUCACCUAUAUCUUGACUUUUAGCAACUGGCAUUACAUGACGAACAAGUUCCUAGCAUGAUGUAUAAAAAAAGGAUCCUAGCAUGUAAGUUGUUGACCAUGAUAAUAAAACAAGUUCAAGAAUAAUUAAAAAAGCUCAUAGAAGACCUGAUUAGCAGGGAAUAUUCUUACAGAAAUUAAGGAAAUUCAGAAACUUAAUGUGGGACAUAUUAUUGCUAUUAUUUUGAGAUAUACUUAGGCCCUAUUCGGUGGAACUCGAAAUUUUGAGGUGCAGUUAUAGGCUGUGUUUAGUUCAGCGUAAAGUUUAGAUUUUGGUUGAAAUUAGAGAUGAUUUGAUUGAAAAGUUAUGUGUCUAUGACAGGUUGAUGUGAUGGAAAAAGACUGAAGUUUGGAUCAAACUUAGGAUCUAAACACAGCCAUAGUGAGAAUAUGGAAAAUCUAGAUUUCCAUUUUGAUUUCGAAUUUAUUUUUCUACUGUUUGAGUGAGAUGUAGAUUCUAGAAAAGCUGCAUAUGUCUACGACUACGAGCUAGAAGAUCCAAAAAGGAGUGUUAGUAUAGUGUGGUUCUCUUGUAAGAAGGUGCGCGGUACGUACGUAAGAAUUCAAAAGGCAUCAACUUGCUAUAGUUAAUCCUCCACUUAAUGGCGGAUCGAUGUCACUAAUUUCCAUCUUUCCCUAUUCAGAAACCCUGCACGAUCUCUACAGCUAGCUGAACUCCGAAACAUGCAGUCCAUAGAUCUUAUCAAUCUGUACAAAUUAAUCUAUACAUAGUUCUAUCUAUAUAUAUAUAUAUAUGUAUAUAUAUAUAUAUACACUUGAUUCAUCUAAUAUAUAUACACCUAUCAUUAAUUAUUAGUAGUAGGGUAGUAGCCGUCUCAGCCAAUCAAUUGGCUAUCUAGUCACAUGAGGUAUAGCUUGAUAGCUUAAGAGCAAGUUUAAUAGUAUAGCCAACUACUAGCUCCAAUUCAUAUAUAGCCAAUCUAAUAGCUCAUUCAUACAAUAGUUACAUACUACACUAUAAAUAUCUAGUCCCACCUAUCAUACACACACCGCGUCUUAGAGUCCGUGCUACAGCUGAUUACAAAUCUGUAGCCCGCUGCUCUUCUCUCUCCUUAUUUAUCUUCUUAAAAUAUGUUUGCAGCUGGCUUAUAGCCUGCUAUUGUACCUGCUCUAAUUACGUUUAGCUUAUGGGGCAAAUUAAACAGGACUAAUUAAUCUCUUGAGGUCGGAAUUAAGAGGAUCGUUGGUCACGCACUCUGUCGUUUUGCUCGAUUUAGAACAAUAAACUACACUAAUUAACCACACACCGUGACACAGGUUGUUGCCUUUCUUCAGCGAAACUCGAAGCAACUAAACCACCAAGUAAUUAAGAGCUAGCUAGCUAGCUCUCAUUGGAUGGGCCAUGGUGGCCCUCUCAUGGGCGUGCAUUAUAUUAGGCUCCCAUGUGAUCAGCGCGACAAUUGUUACGAGAUGCACGUCUCAAUUUUAGUAUCGAUUAAUUAAAAUUUUCAGCUUGGCGUACUCUAGUACUACUAUACUACUCUAGUACUCCAACGUUGUUUAAGACGAAACGGAGCUUAAUUAGGGAGAGAUGCCGAGGUUUGUGUGACCACCUCAUUAGCUAUGAUAGAGAUGCCUGACCUCACCAGCUAAUUAAGGAGAUGAAGUUCUACAUUUAGAUGUACAAAAGUGCAUGGAUGAACAUGCAUGUAUUCCUUCACUACUCAUAAAGAAAGUCGUUUAUGAUAAUGUUUAAGUCAAGUCUUGGAAAUAUAAAUCAGAAAUAACUCUCAAGUUGUUGAGUUUAAAAAUAUAAAAAUUAUAUGAAUAGAUUUGUCUUAAAAAAUAAUUUCAUAAAAGUAUACAUAUAUAUCACUUUCAAUAAAUAUUUUUAUAGAAACAAGAAGUCAAAGUUGUGUUUUGGAGACCGUGUCGCUGUCCAAAACGACUUCCUUUACAAGUACGGAUGGAGUACAUGUAAAGAAUUUUACAUUGUACUUCUUCCGUAUUUUAAUGUAUGACGCCUUUGACUUUUUAAUAAAUGUUUGACCUUUCGUCUUAUUAAAAAAAAUGUAAUUAUCAUUUAUUUUAUUAUGACUUGAUUUAUCAUCAAAUGUUCUUUAAACAUGACAUAAAUAUUUUUAUAUUUGCACAAAAAAAUUAAAUAAGACGAAUGGUCAAACGUUGAUCAAAGAGUCAACGGCGUUAUACAUUAAAAUACAGAGAGAGUAGUAGGCUUUAUGUUUUAAAUUGUCCAUGGAAAAAUGAUGACAGCAUGCAUCCAGCCAUAGUAGAGAUUGCUCAGGCAGCAGCUAUCAUCACUGCAAAUUGAAAUCUAUCUUUGGAUCACUUUAAUUAUCAUCAGGGUUAUUAAAAUUGGGUCACUUUACUCGAAAUGACAUUAUUUUCUUUUCUCCUCCUACAAGUCUUUUUCUAGUUGAAACUAUUUUGGUAGGUAGAUGAUAAACCUUGCUAUGUUAUGGAAAUCGAAUGAGCUCAAUCCAUAGCCACUAUAAAAGGUUAGCCAUUUCUCUUUGACGCACUUGUUACACCUAUCAUGGUUAAUUGUUCUCGACUUAAUUAGAACCGUAUGGAGAACAUUGUUCUGAUCUAUUAGUUUCAAACUAUAGCUGCAGCAGUUUUCAAGACGGUUUUGUGAGGCAGUGAUGGCCCUCUUUAUCUCACUUACUCUUUUCCAAAGGCGGUUAAUCAAACCUUCUCUAAUGCUAGUAAAAGAUUUAAACCACCCGUAAUCGAUGACAUUCUAGUGGUGUAGGUAAUUUUAGCUGGCAAUUUUUAUGGUUGAGUAAGAUUAAAUUAAAUUAGAGUAUUCAGUUUGUAUAUAGUACAUUUGUUCCAAAAUAUAGCAACUUUUGACAUCAUUAUAUUUUGGGACAAAUGCAGUAUUAUAUAUAUGCAAAAAAAAAAGUAGAGGAAAAAAAUUCAAUGUGAAAUUAAUGAACUAGGCAUGUGAUUAUUUUUUUCAGUAUGUCUCUAUAUAUGUCUAAUAUAUAAAUCAUGGCAAAUGAUUGAAACUUUGAAGUAACGUUGGUGCAAAUUAAUACAAAAUUCUAAAAAUUGCUAGAAAAAUAUAAAGAUGAGUAAUGGCAUAUAUAUUUUAUAGAAAGUAUAUAUAUCAGUUCUUCAUGAAUAAAAAAUAUUAAGAGACCAAACAUGGAUUAAUUAGUAGCACAACUAUGGAUGCACAACCUUAGCAUCCCCUUUAACUUUCCUCAGUAGUGCGACCAAUUCCAGGCACUGCACAAUUUCUAGAAGCUAGCUACCUGUGCCUGGCCUUGCCCUGGCCUCUUAAUUGCAGCCAUUUAUUUAGCAUUCACAGUUAAAAUAACCCACCUUGUGAUCCUAGCCAAUGGGGGGAUAUCUCUCCCCUCCUAACUAAAUAAAGGAAGGAAGCAAUUAAAGGAAAGCCAACUUGCAAAGGCACCAACAAAAGACCCCUCCAUUUCCAUUCCUCCUCUUCCUCUCUUCUCCCCCCCCCUCCAAUAAUUCAACCCCCUCUUCUGGGAAACCUGGGAGCUUUCUCCUUCAAGAGCUCCCUGCUAGCUAGAUCUCCUCCUCUCUUUCUCUCUCUCUCUCUCUCUCUUUCUGUCCAUUUCUAUCUGUGCUCUCGCCUGAGCGGCGACAAUCCAGCUGAGAUCGAUCGAUCGAUCGAUGGGGAGGGGCAAGAUAGUGAUCCGGCGGAUCGACAACUCGACGAGCCGGCAGGUGACGUUCUCGAAGCGGCGCAACGGGAUCUUCAAGAAGGCCAAGGAGCUGGCCAUCCUGUGCGACGCCGAGGUCGGCCUCGUCAUCUUCUCCAGCACCGGCCGCCUCUACGAGUAUGCCAGCACCAGGUCAAUGGCUUCUCCCUCCGGCCCUAGCUUAUUAGCUUUUCUAUAGAUUCCGUUCUUGCUUUGGCUUAUGAUUAUUAGCAUGUUUUCCUCGAUCGUCUUCAACUCUCCAUGCGUAAACACUUUAUUUGGUUGGCAUCUUUCUUCUUAUUAUUGUUCUCCGUUUCUACGGUUUUUUUUUCUCUCCAUGAAAGAUUAGAAUCUUAUGAAUGAGUUUUACCUUUGACAGCUUCAGUAGUACAAAAGGUUAUCGUGAAAAUUUUAUAUAUAUUUUUUUUUUGCAUCUUUGCACCUAUUAUUCCCUGUCAUAUGUAUACAUAUACAUCGGCCAUAAGUGUUUAAGAACUAAUGCAUGUGUCAGGUUCUUCAAUUUCCUGUUAGUCUCAGAUUAACUACUAGUUGUUCAUCUUUGUUUUUAACCUUCUUCUAGCUAGGGUCCCCCUAUGUAUGGCCAUAUGUCAGUUGUGUGUUUACUAUUUUGUCAUGCAUAUUUUUCGAAGGAAUAAAUAUGUCAACUAUGCUUUGCAGUGAAGCAAUAAUUGAUCUAGCACUCUUGGAAUAAAAUUGUGUGAUAACUGUACACUUAUACGUAUGAUUUCUGCUCACUUCAUAUAAUUGUUAAUUUACCCUUUUUGCCGUACUCUUACACUCAAAAGCUAGCACACGCAUGCAUGUGCUUUCAGAUUACAAAAAUAAUCUUAGUAAGAGUUGUGCCGGCCAUUCGUUUUGUGCAGCAUGAAGUCAGUGAUUGAUCGAUAUGGGCGAGCUAAGGAGGAGCAGCAGCACGUCGCAAACCCCAACUCGGAGCUGAAGGUAUGCCUUGAUGACUGCAACUAAACAUAUUUCUUCUUCUGCCGAUCUCUGUCAUUUGUGUUGUUUAGGAGUUUUGUAGCGUCUUCAUAUAUAUAACAGAGAACUAACCUUUCUAAACUCUAACCUGAGAGAAAUUAACUCAACAGAGAUUAAUAAAAAAAGCAUGCAGGAGCUAGCAAGUUGUUCUAAUUAAUGCAGUACUUAACUAAAAAUAAGAACAGAGAUCGAAAUAAUCCUUUGACAUCAUCUAUUCAUUUGGGUUAGUUCCAGUGUUUUGGUUGGACAUAUGCACAUGCACUACACCCCCUGCCGGAAUACUAUUUAUCUCUUUUCAAGCGUAAUUGAACAAGAUAAAUUUGAUCAUCGCACAGAUGAAAGCCUGAUUAAUUUGGUUUCCGGUGGAGAUAAAUUUGUCAGUGCUGUUUAUUCAGAAUUCACAAAUUUCUGCGACAGUAUGUCUGAAGGAUAGUUUCCCGAUAUCUGACCGUCUAUGAUAUGCAUAAUUAAUUUUCCCACUAAUACUGUUUGAUAUUUCAAACAUGCACAAACUUAUAAAUGUUCAAUAUUUUCAUCGUGUUGACAACAUCCUUUAUUUUCCUUCGUCUACAUCAUCUCAACUGUUACCAAGAAAUUAUUUUCGAGUAAGGACACAUCAGAGUUUUUCAGUUAAAAUCUCCGUUGUUUUGAGUGAAUUAUGUAAUAAGAGAUAAUUAGGCAAGUUUAUAUUUGUAGUUAUACGUAGAGCGGGAGUGUUCACUUCAAUUAUCUUAAAAGAAAACACAAUCAAGGUUCUCUAAUUUUACUGUGCAUCAGUUAGGCAAGUUUAUAUUUGUAGUUAUACGUAGCAAAACUAAGGCACAAAGUACAGGAAAAUGGCUUUAAUUAGCUAGGCUUUUAAUUUAAACAGGCCAGGAAAAAAAAAACUACCUACUGCAUGUGUACAUUGCAGUAACUUUGUUAUCGGAGCUAUUGCCUAUUUAGCUAGCACUUAGCAGGAUGCAUUCCCAUUUUGGUCCAUUAGUGACACCUUUUCACCAUUAUUGCAUGUAAGCACAUUGCUUCAUCCUCUACGUUAUAAUUCGCGUGAUCUGCAUGCAUGUAUGCAUAUACAAAAACAAUGGUCGUGUUUAUUAGGUAUACUAGAGGGGAACCCCCAUGCGUGUUGCCGCGGAAAAAAUGUAUGAGAUAAGUAAACAUGAGAUGCAAAUUAGAUUUGCUUUAUUUUAAAUGAUUGGACAUCAUAUAAGUAAAUAUCAUUUAUAUAUUAUAUAUCAUGCUAAAAAUAUUAAGAUAAUGUAUCUUCAUAUGAGAUCAAAGGGUACAAAUAAUUGAGAUGGUGUAUUAAAAAUGCUAGAAAUAAAUUAGAUGUGUGUAUACCUAGAGAACAUAGACAAUUUACAUCGUAGAUGAAUGAUCCAAAGGCUACAAAUAACUAGGAUGAUGUGGCUUCAGGAGAGAAGAGAGAAUUAACAUUAACUAUAUAUAGUGAUGAUGAACCUUAUAAGUACCGAAUACUCUCACCAAAGACAAUCUUUAGCUUGGUAUCAACAAAUGUAGAUGGACAUGGUAACCAAGCAUCUCUAUAUUCAUAUAAGAGGAAUUUCAAAUAGUUCUUGAUAGCCUAUCCACGAUGAGCUUUUAUGUUGUAGUGGUGUCUCCUCUGUCCUUACUCUUCAACCAACCUUCCAAUAAGCGAAAUGUUUCCUUAGUUGAUAGACCUAACAAUGCCUACCGUGCAAGCAAAUUCUACCAUUGGUUUUGCCCUAUUGGGAUAUAAGGUAGCUUUGGAUGGUAUAUAAGGAGUUAUCUUAAGAAGUAGUGCCAACUUAAGUAUAUCUAGCUCAUCCCUUCAUAGGUGCAAAAUUAUGACAUAGGCAUGUAAUGGGUAGAGGCAUGCUAUAUGAAGGUAGCAUAGCUUGCAGAACAUAUUGCAUUCUCAUCACCGUGACUCAAUGAUGUUGACACUAGUUAGUAAGCCAACCCUUUUUUUUUUCCAAAAAAAAAAACUAUAGCUAGUAGCUCAACUCAGACUUAGUAAUUUAUUUGUGAGUUUUCUCGGGAUAAACCCAAGGAAUAACAAGGCUUACAACUUUUAUUACUAACUACAUUUGUGAUGAAAAAAGUAAGCAUUGUUUGUUGUAAGAGAAAUUCUACGUUUUACGAUUGACAAGCGACAUGUCCUAUAAAUUGGCAUCGACGAACGUGAGUUCUACGAAAUACAAAAUACCUUGGUACAAGCAUUUCUGUCCCUUUUUAUCAUCGCCACUAGGUUUCCAUCCAUAGACCUGCAUUCUUCUAAAAGGACCAUUCUGCUCAUAAAAAGAUCUCCAUUAAGUGUGCAAACAUUUUUUUCAUACAGUUUUUAUCAAAUUCUAGGGGCAAAUUGGUUUUCUAAAGACUUAAUGGAGGUUUAUGGAUGGAAACCUAAUGGCAGUGACAAAACGAGAAAAAAAACACUUGUACGAUGAUAUUUUUCUAGAGCUCGAGCUUUCUAAUGGCAACUUUUAAAAUCGGUAGUUUGUCAAUAACGAAACAUAUAAUUUCUCUUGUUUUAAAUGUUAGUGAUGUGGUUUUUUGCAUAGUAAAUGUACAUUGACAAUGGUAAGGAAUAAAUAUGUAUUGGCCUUCUCAACUCUUAGUUGAUUACACUUGAAUCAAGUUUUUUUUAACAAUAGAAUAAAACCUAGUCUCUACAGCAACAAAGAUGGUAGCCAAUAACUUCAAAAUAAACAACCUCAUCCAUUUAUAUGCAUCCACCUACACCCCAAAAUCUUCUGAGAGCUCACCUUUUCACAAUGGCGAAAGCCCUUGUGCCAUUGAAUUGGGUUUGCCAAAUCACCACUUUCGCUAUCUUUCAUUUUGAGAGAAAAUAGAAACAUUUCUAGUCUUUACCAAGGUUACCAAAAUCAGGUGUUUGCUCCCCCUCUUUUGCUGUAGUGUGAGAAAUAAUCCCGCCUAAAACAAGUGAAUCUAUCUUACAACUAACAAGUCACACACGUCAUCUUUCUUAAAAAAAGGGAAAUAAAGAGGACAACAAAUCGGGUGAGGAUCCUCUACCAUAAUAUCACUAUACCAUUACGGUCACUUAUAUGUGAGUUCCGCUUUCUUAGUGUUACACAUAUCAAUGUCUAUAAUGGUAGUGUCAUUAUGGUAGAGGGUGUAAACCCCAACAAAUCAUUGUCGCGAACGCAGCUAUUAGCAACUAGAAUUACCCUAUGUUGCCUUCCUCAAAGACUAGCAUUGAUUACCUUAAUCGACUUUCUUGUCCCCGCAUGGAGAUUAUAUGCUUACUGCAACUGUGCAAUAAGGAUCGAAGCAGUCUAGGGCAGAUUCGCAACCCCAGAUUUUGAUUCGAUGAUCUAGAUUAUGUAUUAAAGAACAUUUGUGUAAACCUAGAUUUCUCAUCAUGCAUUGCUAAUGCAACUGCUAAGUUGUAGUUAUACUAGCAACCACACCAGAUCUUGGUCCCCAGUCCCCAAGCCAUAAAAACUACCACACAUGUAAAGGAAUAUCUUACCUUCUAAAUUACUACCUCCAUAUUUUAAUGUAUGACGCCAUUGACGUUUUGUUCAACGUUUAAUCAUUCGUCUUAUUUAAAAAAUUUAUGUAAUUAUCAUUUAUUUUAUUAUGACCUGAUUCGUUAUCAAAUGUUCUUUAAGCAUGACAUAAAUAUUUUCAUAUUUACAUAAAAGUUUUGAAUAAAAUAAAUGGUCAAACAUUGGUCGAAAAGUCAACGGUGUCGUUUAAAAUACGGAGGGAGUACUUUUUAUCAUUUAAAAUUUGAGGAUUUGUCCAAACGUCGAAAUUGGAUAAUAAUGGGUGACAAUCAACUUUGCCAUUUUGUCUUUCCAAAAAAUUUUCCGUUAAAGUACGGCUGAACCAUUUAAGCCCUCUCGCUUUGGUUCUUUUGAAUAUUUUUAUUGUUUAAGCCGCUGUUUUUUAAACCUUAAGUAGUAGACUGUUAGCUUCACAUAGACCAGAAAAGCUACUGUAACCUAGCUUUUAGCUUAACAUAGAGUGACUUAUGACCUUAAAAAAUACAAACGAAAAAAUAUCUAUUUAUUUAGGUUUAAACAUAAACAAAAGAGGGCCUUAAUCAACAAACAGCCGGAUGCUCAUGCUCAUGUGUCGUUGAGAGGAUCCCACUCGAUAAUCAAUUGGCUUAAUAAACUCAGCUAGAGGGGUAAAAUAUCGAUCAGUAGAUCACACAGAUAAUAAUCCCUUUUAUCAGAAGCUGAUUUCCUAUAAGAAAAAUGUAGAGCAGCCGCAUCCACGAUGCGCAAAACAACCAAAAGGGCAAUAUUCAAUCCACCGAACACCCUUCAGGAUAAUUCGUAUACAAAACUUGCAGGUACACAACUAAUUAUGGUCCAAUUCCUAAGCUGCGUAAACGGUGGAAAUGUACAUACAAAUUGUCAAUCGAACAGUCCUCAUGCCAUCGAAAUGCUUCUGAAUUUAGUUAAAAUAAAAUGCUUCUGAAGAGAACCAUCCCAUCACAGCUCGCAUACAGAACACCCUGCUUGAAUUCAGAGGAUAAAAACAUCAUUAUAACAAGAAAACUAACAAAGAAUCACAAGGGGCACGUACCUGUUAAAUCUGUGUUAAAUCCUCUUAAAAGGAUCAGUACUGCAUCUUUAAGUUCACAUUGAACCUUUUGCUUCGGUAACAGCUGACAGAUCUGUACAGAUUUCAGACUAACUGCUUAUCUUUCACCGCAAUAAAGCUUGUACCAGGAUGAUAUAAUCAUCACUUACCUGACUUGUGCACUCUGCAGAUACUUUGUAGUUAAUCUAGCUUGGUGGGACUUGGGAGCAUUUUGUUUAGACAAACAAGUUUUUUAUCUGACUUGUGCACUCUGCAGAUACUUUGUAGUUAAUCUAGCUUGGUGGGACUUGGAAGCAUUUUGCUUAGACAAACAAGUUUUUUACCUGACUUGUGCACUCUGCAGAUACUUUGUAGUUAAUCUAGCUUUGGUGGGACUUGGAAGCAUUUUGCUUAGACAAACAAGCUUUUUACAAUAGGGGGUAACACCCCGCAAAACGAGGACUGAUAAUGGAGUACCAAAUUCAAUAGAGUUGGUAGCUCAUCGUCUUAUCUGGAAAAAAAACUGUCUUCAAACUGGAAAGAUAAUACUACUUCCCUUAUUUGUUUACAACAAAUUUCUUUGUUUGCCUCUUGUUACUUCUUUUACCAUACACAAUAACUUCCUCAGUUCAAAUAGUCUUCUUGUCUAAUGUAAUUGAGUUUCCUUUUUUUUAAAAAAAAACUAGUGAGUUGAUAACCCAGCAUGUUUCUAUGGGUAUACACAACAUAUUUAUAUUGCUGCUUUUGGCAAACCUGGAUUCUGCAUUUCUUGACUCUGUUUUCAUAUCCAAUAGUUCUGGCAAAGGGAGGCAGCAAGCUUGAGACAACAACUGCACAGCUUGCAAGAAAAUCAUCGGUAUGGCCAUAAAACCCUGCAAGUUUUUCAAUGUUCCAUCAGAAAAUUCCUCAAGAUAGAAAAACAUAAACCAUCAUAUAUCUACUACUAUGAAAUACAUGCAUCAUGAACCCUUGAUGAUGAACUUUUUUUUUUUGUGGGGACUUGCUCAUGAAUCCAGCAACUGCUAGCGACAAUAAUACUUCCAGCACCUGAUUGUAUAGUAAAUAUAAACUAGUACCAGAUCAUAAAAACAAGCACCUAGUGCUUGGGUAUAUGAUACUUAGAAAAAAGAAGAAAAAACAGAGUAUGAAAGUGAUAUAUGCUGAUUCCAAAUUUCCUAUAGAUAAUGCAUUGUUUAACCUUCACAAACAAAAGAAAUGAAGAAGGCACGUGAAUUUUCUAUAUCAUUUAAAAGUAAGAAAUAUAUACCUUCAGCCAUUCGAUUUUUAUGCAUUUCCGGUUAUCUCUAAAAGAAAAACAGAACUGAGCACCCAUCAAAGGCGGACAGACCAAAUUUACAAAGGAGAGUGAAUAUCACAUUUUCUUCACCUGUGCUUUCUGCCUGGUAAAUUAUUGUUCAAACACUCCAUUUUGUCCUUCAGGCCUAAUUUACAAUACCUAAACUAGAAAGGUACAAAUUAUUUUUAUUAUCAAUUAACAGCUGUCUGUUGAUCAGCUAAAAUUAAGUGUCAAUAUUCACUCUGUAUAUCAUCAGAACAACACUAUAACAUCCAUUGGUUGAUGGCAGGCAGUUGAUGGGGCAAGAUCUUUCUGGAUUGGGUGUCAAGGAACUGCAAACUCUAGAAAAUCAGCUAGAAAUGAGCAUACGCUGCAUCCGGACAAAAAAGGUCAACCUACUAACCAUAUUUUUUUGUUGGGCACCUGAUUGAUUAUAUAAUGGAUUAACUUAAGAUCAAUAUUGUUGUUUUCAGGACCAGCUCAUGAUUGAUGAAAUCCACGAACUGAAUCGAAAGGUUCUACAACAUCAUGUACAAUUGCUAAAUCUUUGAAUCAGCUAGUAAGCUAACUCUAUUGCUGGCUUAUUUGCAGGGAAGUCUCAUCCACCAAGAAAACAUGGAACUGUACAGAAAGGUCAACCUGAUUCGCCAAGAAAAUGCUGAGCUGUACAAGAAGGUACUUGAUAAAUGCAGAUAGAUGAUUUCACAGGAUAUACGCUUCAUUAUAUGAUGACAGCUAAUCUCUCUCCUCAGCUCUAUGAGACAGGGGCAGAAAAUGAAGCGAAUCGAGAUUCAACAACUCCAUACAACUUUGCGGUUAUCGAGGAAGCCAACACUCCUGCUCGUCUUGAACUCAAUCCCCCAAGCCAACAAAAUGAUGCUGAGCAAACCACACCUCCUAAACUAGGGUAACUCAGAUUUUCUGCACAUGAUCCAUCUAUCCAUUCUCAGUUCUUUAGUGAAACAUCAAUUAUAACUUAAUGAAAUUAUUGCAGGCUCCAAUUGCAUCCAUGACAAUUUAUGGUGUGGAAGUGUUGCCUAUAUUUUCACUAUUCUUAAGGGCUACAGUUCAGAGCUCUUAAAAUGUAUUGGUCAUAAAGAAGCUAACACAUAACAAGACACAGUUUGCAUGCUUGGAUGAUUAAUAUCUGAUACUGUAAAAUCUAUUCGAAUAAAAAUGUAUUAUCUGAAGAGCCCAUGAAAAUUAUUUUCUUAUGACUAUUUGGCACUAUCUGCAAGUUUGUUUACCCAAAUGACAGCUACAUGUGUGCAAACUUAUUGGCAAAAACAAACAGUGCGCGAAGUGUAGAGCAUGCAAGAUCAAUGCUCUGUUUUAUCUUAAAAAGCCAUAAGCAGACAGAAGAGAUGAAAAGGCAUUAUAAUUUAUCUGUGCAGAUGUACCAGAACAAGAAAAGUAUCAGCAAGAGCGACGCCAGGGGGCGGAGGGGCCUGGCCUCUUCCCACCCCCUCCACCCUUCUAUUCUGCUGAUGGAUUAGCUAGGCACUGUGCUUGCACGUAUGUAUGUUUAGCAAGAGCGAUAAGGUCUUUACUCUAGCCUUGUAGGCACACAACACCAUCUAUUUCCUUUUCCUUUUAGAAUACCGAGUAAUAUGUACUAAUCAUUUGUAUUAUUUACAUCACUAGGUGGCUAACAUUGAAAUUUUAAAUUUCUAAAAUAUUAGUUAAUACUUGUAACAGAUGGAUAGUUUGUUGCUCUUUUUGCCAUAAUCUAGUUCUUAUUUUUUGUUUAUUUUUUUCCUGUUUACCUACACUUUUAGCUUGAAUGGUACAAUCACUGCUUAUAAUCUGUCUGCUCAUAAGGCUAAAUUAACCUGCCUGUGUUUUAAAUUGUCGUGUGUUUUUUUAUACUGAUACGGUAUAUUACCUAUGGGGAACAUUUAGAUUAGCAUAAACUUUUCUACGCUAUUUUUUUUAUAAUCUUAAUCACUUAUAAAGCUGGGCCCCCUCAUACUUAGAUCCUGGCUUCGCCACUGGGUAUCAGCGUUCAAUCUUUCUUAAUAAUUUUAGACACAUGUGCUCAUUAAAACUUUUCUUACUGUUCUAAGAAAUGCUCGCAAAUAGUACCUUUAGCAAAACUUUAUACACAUAAAAUAAUCAGAAGCACAUCAAUGUAAUAUGUCCAGAAAGUUUAUAGCGAAAGAAUCAUUUUGUCCAGGACCCAAGAACUUGGACCUUACACCUCUAAUUGUGCCUCUUAAAUACCCAUGCACUUUCAUGUUACUAACUUAUACCACCGGAUAGAAUGAUUAUUAGUUAUGUAUAUCAGAAAAACUAUUUUAUACUAGGCACGAGACCUUGGGUAAUAAUUACAUCAUAACUUGUUUCAAAUAAUUCUUGGAAUUUGUAAUGUGUACUUCACUAGGUUGGGAGCGCCUAAUCCCCCGAGAUAUGAAAAUGAAAUAAUGCAUGCAAAGACAUGGAAAAUUUCAAAAAUAAAGUAACAUUCAUGAACAGUUCCAAUAAUAAUAUUAACAUACUACCUCCAUCCCAAAAUAUAACUUUUGGCUAUGAAUCUGGACACACAGUUGUCCAGAUUCAUAGCUAAAAAUGCUUAUAUUUUGGGACGGAGGGAGUAGAGUAUGAUGGCAUCUACAAGGAGACAAGUGUCAAAGGGAGUGAAUUAAUCAAGUUUUAAUAGUGUGUGGGGUAGAGAAAAGAAUGUUAGAUACUUAGAACAUAAUGGAUGGUAAUCCAGUUUGUUGAAUUUUUAAAGUUCUAUGCAAACAUAAAUGCAGUAUAGAAAGUAAAGACAAACGGUAAAUACCAAUUAUGUACAAGACAUAAUGUAAAUUAGAUACUUAGAACAUAGUAGUUUUAUAUAGAACGGUCCAUGUGUUCAUUCAUAUACCUUGAUAGGUUGAAGGUAGAUCCUUCUGAAGAUUACACCAAGGACUUGGUACAACACGUUCGUAAUUAUACAGGUACAUGACUCUCACAAGGACUCUUACAUAGACUCUCACACUUAGAAUUUCAUAAGUCUUUUAUUUAGGUUAUAACUAUAACUAUCUACUAACACUUAGAUGGAGUGAAGUGUGAUGGCUGGUGGAGAGGUGAAGAGGAAUGGUUGAGUGAGAUGUGUUGUGGUUGUGUUCCUGAGCCCCUUAUAUAGGACUCGGUGAAGAAUCUUUAUGAUAUCUCCAUUUGACUUUAAGGGGUUUUAUGAUUAUCCCUUUAGACUUCACGGAGAGAAUCUUUGGUGAUGACGCUUUUGACCUUCAAUAAAAGUAUCAUAAUAUCGCCUUUUGACUAUAGGCAUAUCUUAUCUUGAAUAGUGUAGAUUCCUUAUCUUCAAUAGUGUUUUUUGUCGAGGAUAACAAGAUCUUCAUUCAUUAUCUUCACCGUAUAAGUCUUCUACAGACAUCUUUUACAACGUUCCUAAAUCAGAUUGAAGAAUCUGAUCUAGUGUUGCAUAGAUAGAAUUGACAAGACCACGAUCUAUAAUGGUUUGGAGAGGUUUGGAAAGAUAUUUCAUCUUGGUUGUUGUUUACACCCAAAUUUGGCACCUAGGGUCGAAAUAGGAAAAAUUGCGAAAGUUUGGGGCUCUGCCGGUUUCCUCCAGAAAGGGCCGGUCUGACCGCCAUAUGUGGGCCGGUCAGACCGCCGCCGGAGAGCCGGUCAGACCGGUGGCAUGUGGCCGGUCUGACCGGUAGAGUCUGAGUUAGACUCCGUUUUCGUCAGGUCUCGGGUGGUUGGCGACUCCAUAUCACCGCAAGGCGUUUAGGUGCUGCGAUCGUGCUUGUUGACUUGUCACAAAAAGUUGCUCUUGCCUUUGAUACCAGCUCUUGCCCAAACACCAUAUAUAUUGCAUAAUCAUCCCAAUUCCCUCCUUCCACAAUAUAUACUUCGGACCCAGCCAAUAGCACCAUGUAGACCGUGUGCCUACAAAGAUUCUUACCAAAAGAAACUUAAAGGCCAAAAUCCCAUGAGUACCGCAUAUGAAUAUCUCCAACCCAGAUUGAGCUUCAAGACAGAGCAAAUUUUAUCUUGCUUUGGGCAAGACAUCCUCGACCUUGUUUGGCAAAAGUUUAAAGAGAGACAAAUGAAAAUAUUUCAAGAUUAUUUCUUUCAUCUCUUAUAAGGCAGAGAAAGAAACCCAGCCAUACAAGUAAUCAUAUACAUGCUUCCUAUCUUAAGGUUAGAUGAUCAUCAGGUAAUCUCUGACCCAUCCUAUAGAUUCAUGGUUCUCAAAGCCGAAAUAAAUCUCCAAAGAUUCCGAAACUUACCCACAUACAACCAUGAUGAAAUAUCUCUCCAAACCAUUAUAGAUCAUGGUCUUGUCAAUUCUAUCUAUGCAACACUAGAUCGGAUUCUUCAAUUUGAUUUAGGAAGCGCUGUAAAAGAUGUCUGUAGAAGACUUAGAAAUGGAAGAUACAGGAUUAUCUUCUCCUCCAUACCACCUAAAUUCACACCACAUGCUCGUCCAGCAAUUCACUAUAUAUAUAUAUAUAUAUAUAUAUAUAUAUAUAUAUAUAUAUAUAUAUAUAUAUAUAUAUCAUGAAUAAACAAUUUAAUUUUCAAGAAGGCGGUCCUAGCAAAUUAUCAGAUGAACAAGAAGAAAUGUAUACAAUGAUUGCAAAUCAUGAGAAUUGGAGAUUAUUUUCUGAAGCUGCAGAAAUUGAAGAAGCUAUUACCAUAGAUUAUGAAUAUCAGUUGGUUUUCCAAAACAAGAUCACAAGGAUUUUUAUUAGCAGAUAUUAUAACCAAAGUUGUGAAUAUUUCAAGGGAGCAGGACGUAUAAUUAAACCAGAUUUUACUACAGAAGCCUGGCUCAGUGGUAUCAGAAAACAGAGCCAUCAAAAAUUGACAUGAUGCAAUUGGCACCCAUGAUAUACAGUGAAGAUAAUGAAUGAAGAUCUUGUCAUCCCCGACAAAAAACACUAUUGAAGAUAAGGAAUCUACACUAUUCAAGAUAAGAUAUGCCUAUAGUCAAAAGGCGAUAUUAUGAUACUUUUAUUGAAGGUCAAAAGCGUCAUCACCAAAGAUUCUCUCCGUGAAAUCUAAAGGGACAUCAUAAAACCCCUUAAAGUCAAAUGGAUAUAUCAUAAAGAUUCUUCACCAAGUCCUAUAUAAGGGGCUCAGGAACACAACACAACCAAAACACAUCUCACUCAACCAUUCCUCUCACCUCUCCACCAGCCAUCACACUUCACUCCACUCCAUCUAAGUGUUAGUAGUAUAGUUAUAACCUAAAUAGAAGACUUAUGAAAGUCAAGUGUGAGAGUCUAUGUAAGAGUCCUUGUGAGAGUCCUGUACAUGUAUAAUUAUGAACGUGUUGUACCAAGUCCUUGGUGUAAUCUUCAGAAGGAUCUAUCUUCAACCUAUCAAGGUAUAUGAAUGAACACAUGGACCAUUCUAUAUAAAACUACCAUGUUAUGGUAUUUACAGUUUGUCUUUACUUUAUGUACUGCAUUUAUGUUUGCAUAAUUAUUUUUUAAGAAAAUCAACAAACUGGAUUACCAUCCAGUUGCCACAUACCAAUCUCACAUCCAACAUUGCAUCUAGAUGCUGCAUUCCUAUCCUCAUAUCUGGUGACUAGACCCCUAGCACUGCCUGGGCAAGAGCUGGUAUCAGAGCCAAGUGCUCGUAACCUCCCCAAGCCAUCUUCUCCGAAAGGGGGAGGGGGGAGGGGGGGGAGAGAGGGGUCGGGUAGCAAAUAGUACUUUUAGCAAAACUUUAUACACACAAAAUAAUCAGAAGCACAUCAAUGUAAUAUGUCCAGAAAGUUUAUAGCAAAAGAAUAAUUUUGUCUAGGACCCAAGACCUUGGACCUUACACCUCUAAUUGUGCCUCUUAAAUACCCAUGCACUUUCAUGUUACUAACUUGUACCACCGGAUAGAAUGAUUAUUAGUUAUGUAUAUCAGAAAAACUAUUUUAUACUAAUCACGAGACCUUGGGUGAUAAUUACAUCAUAACUUGUUUCAAAUAAUUCUUGGAAUAUGUAAUGUGUACUUCACUAGGUUGGGAGCGCCUAAUCCCCCGAGAUAUGAAAAUGAAAUAAUGCAUGCAAAGACAUGGAAAAUUUCAAAAAUAAAGUAAAAUUCAUGAACAGUUCCAAUAAUAAUAUUAACAUACUACCUCUGUCCCAAAAUAUAACUUUUGGCUAUGAAUCUGGACACACGGUUGUCCAAAUUCAUAGCUAAAAAUGCUUAUAUUUUGGGACGGAGUGAGUAGAGUAUGAUGGCAUCUACAAGGAGACAAGUGUCAAAGGGAGUGAAUUAAUCAUGUUUUAAUAGUGUGUGGGGUAGAGAAGAUAAUGUUUUGGUGAUUAACUACACUAGCAAAAUAAUUUAGCGAUAGUAAUAAUAAGACUUACGAUUUUCUUGCAAGAUAUGCAGUUGCUGUCUCUAGCUUGCCGCCUCCACUUGCAGCAACUAGCAGAGAAGGCAAAGGAAGAAUUAGUCAGCUGGAUCAAAAGGGUCAUAUUUGAAAUUAGUUGCUAGUGCUAUUGGCAGUUAAAAAAAUUGCAAACAUACAACAAAAAGUUCAUUGGCAUACUACACAAAUAUUUGCUUAACAAAUUUAAAUGUUGCAGUAAUGCAGCCUUCCCCUUUCCCUUACUAUGAACCGCGAGAGUUCGUGUUAAAAACAAGUUUAUGUUUCAGUAAAAAACAAGUUGAUGUUUGCUCAAAAUGCAGAACUAGAAACCUUCAGUUGUAGCUCAAAUGGCAUGGAAAACUAUUUCCAUACAAAUUGUUCUACAAACUAGCUUUUGCAUUGCAUGUGUUUCUAGUAGCGGUGCAGUGCUACUACAAAGUACAAACUGUCCUGAAUAAUAAUAAUCAUCAGGAAAAUAGCAUGGAACUAGCAAAGGUUUUGUAUGGGAAACUUGGUUAAUACAAUUGUAUAUUCAGUAUUUCUUCACUGAAUUAGAAACUUUAGUAAAGUGGUAAAUGCUCAAAAGCAGAGGGCAUACAAUGUGUUCAUCAAAGCAUACAAAAGCUCAUAUCAGCGAAGAAAGAAAAACUAAAAAUCAGAGAUAUGAAGAAUCAACUGCUGUUCUCAGCUAAAUUCACCCCAUAGUACCAGUAGGUCAACCCACCCCCCCCCCCAAAAAAAAAAAAAAACUAAUCUAUUUGGCACUGGUAGGACAUGCUCAAAACAACUAUAUUCAUAAUUUAGUGACUAAUUUGACUGGCCCAUCAAACAUUAAAAGACAAUCAUGAUACAGGGCUGUAAAAAUAGAAGGCCUGAUCAUGUUGCAAGACAUGAGUUCACAACCAAACAGACACUACAAAAACUAGUCAACUCAAAUGCUCUGUUUCAAGAACUGCAUAAUGCAAGUGCUGGUCCAAACUCCAAAACUGUGAAGAUAACUUUGACAUCAGAUAAACAACACAUUGGGUAUGCAACUUAGUAUCUCUUUUGUUUUAUUAUCCUGCCAAUAGCAAGGAUGAUAUUUAUAUGAUGAGACAUGUAUUAACACUAACCAGACUCCAUCACACUAGUGUCAUGCUCAUGUCAAAAAAGAAUCCAAUAAUAGUAUAGCGCUAAUGGCAGAACAAUCUGCCAUGAAAUUUUCAUUAAGCUCAAUUUGUGCAAGGAGAAAAGGUUGAUAUAUAACACAGUCACAAAAAUACAACCUUGAGCACAAAAUAUUUUUCAACGUGUCUGUAAAAACUAAAUGUUUCCUUGUGCUGACAGCAGUGGGGAUAGGAACAUGAAAGUCUUUUGGCAAUGGGCUAUUGAGAAUGGAGUAUGUUUGGGCCAAGGCCCAUUUAGUGGUUGUUAUAAUCUGAGGUGUUAAGAUGAGGACCAUACAAAAACUGAGCACUGCUUUGUCCAAAAGAGUAGAUGAAAUAAAAUAGAGUUAUUUCUGUAUACUUUGCUUCUCUUCUAUCUUCUCAACUCCAUUCUGUAUUCACAUUGGUAUUGUUGCAUUGCGAUUGGGCUCAUCAGUCAUCACCUCUUGGGACGUGACACAAAAAUGCGGCAAAGAGAUCUUUUAGACAAUCUACUACUAGUAUCCCCACAUCACACUCAUACAUCCAACCUAAAAUUCACAAAGUUGUUGGUUAUGUUUCAAAUUGUUCACCAUAAUUACCAUCCAUCACAUUCUUUUAUUACUGGAAAGGUAUUAGUGUUACGGAAUCCUUUCCAAGUUCCAACAGUGAAAACAUUUUGGAAAUAAUAAUGAAGCAACAAGUCUAAGCAUGAAAACCAUAUGCUUUAUAUUUUUACUGAAUUAAUUCAUCAAUUCUCAAAUGGUCAGCCCACAUGCCAAUUUGACCUCCAGCAUUGGCAGAAUAUUUUGCAUUUUUAACUAUUUAUUCAUGCACCUCUAUGAAACUAUUGCAUGCCUAUCAACAAAAGUAAACUACCAUAAGAUAUACUGCAUAAACUCUUGAGUUCUACAAAACCACCAAAUAGACAUUCUAACAUGCAGACUGAAACUCAGUAAAUGCAUCUGAAGAAAUGUAACUACAGCCAGGAAGUUUCAGAAUAAAACAUUCUCUUGAAUGAAUUGUACUAUAUUAUGUCAUAUAGAAGGGAGUGUUAAACUUUAGCAGCAUGCAAGAGUAUAACUUUAGCAUACUCAUAUGUCCGUUACGCAUAAUGAACACAUACAUCCGACAUAUACACAGAUCAGAUAAACUGUGUAUACAUCCUCAGUUAGAAAACAUAUGUUACCACACUUCACAAGCCAAAACAAUUAUAAAUUAGUUCAAACUUAAGCUUUCAUUAUAUCAGAGUGGAUGUGCAGUACAUGACUACAUGUAGGGCGCUGACACUAAAGUCUAGAAAGAAGUACUAGAGGCAAUCUCGUUAGAGACCAAUACAAGAGUUAUCCACUUAUCCUAACCACGGUUAAAAGCAGCAAAAUCCUCCCAAAACAAAACUAAGUAAUGGCAAUUCUAGUAUCAGUGCAACUCUAAAAAAACAAUUAAUAAUGCACUCCCUGAUCAAGAAAGAAAAGAACUAAGCUAACAUUAACACUGGCAUUGACAACCGUACAUGAAACAAAACGCAUAAGCUGCUUGUAAUUUCAUGCUACAACGAAACUAAUCAAACUUUUCACACAAAUCACACCAAAACGACCGCACAGCUCGGGGCAUUCAGUUAACUCAGUAUCAGCAAUUAACAACUUAACUAUGCAAAAAAAAAUACAUAUAUAUGAGAGCCUGAGGAGAAGCUGUAAAAUCGGUGGAACGUCUCACCUGAGAAGCCGGCUCGAAGGUUGAACCCUAGAUGAAGAGAGGCGGGUCGCUAGGCGGCACAGAAUCAAAAUCAACGCAAGCAUAUCGGCUGGGGCUACAGCCUACAGGAGCGGCAAUGGGAGAAGCUAAUCGGGGAGCCAACGGCCACCACGAUCCGAGGGUCGUGGUCAUGCGACGGGCGGCAGCAAGCUAGAUAGCUACCUCCUACGGAAAUCUAGGGGGGGGGGGGGCAGAUGCCAUGGAGGACGAGACCGCGAUUGGCGCGAUCCUAUCCAAUCUAAGCGAGGGGGGGCUCCGAGAGAACGACGCGAAGACGACGACCGCCGCGAGGGGGGGGAGGCGAUGAUGGAUUUUGCGCUGGAUUUGGUCGGAUGCGACGGAGCGUGUGGUGGUGGUGGUGCUCUUUGUAGAUGAAGAGAGAGAGAGAUAACCCCCAAAGCAAAGCAGGCGCCCCCACGCCAAGUGGGGUGGGGUUUCCGGGGGAGUAAUAAAAAAUGCGGCGGACGAGCGGCGCUCCGGCGGCCACGUCGCCCCCGGCGCCAUUUUCAGAGGGGGGGCGCUGCUGCGGGGCACCCCGACAGGUGUACCGUCCGCCCACCCGCCACCGCCGAUCGCCGGCAAGUGGGCGCGUGGGUUGGGCCUGCGCCUCCUGCAUGCUCUGCCUGUCGAGAAGGCUCGCGAAGACGCGAAGGGGGCGCGUGCGGGAAAUCGGGAGCCGUCGGAUGGGGAGGUGGAUGGGCGAGAUCUUCACUGGCGGCGACACCUGUCCAGGAGAGAGAGAGAGAGGGGUUAGAUGGUCGAGGAACGGGAACUACCAACGCGCACGGUGAUGUUUUUGGAUGACAUUUUAAACAUUUCGCCGUACGUAUAUUAUUUUGUUUGCAAAAUGCAACUUGCCAAUUUUUGAUUAUGCAUUUUAAGCCUGUUUCGAGCGUACACACAGGAAACUAUUGAAAAUAUGAUGAAUAGGCACUAUUCAUGUCGAAGAAAAAAAACAUAGGGCUGCUAUGCGAAAUAAUUCUAUGUGAGCCAAUUAUUUAUUUUGUAUACAUUUCUACUCUAUUCCUACUUUUUUUUCUAUUUCCUGUGAUUUAAAAAUCAUCUUAAUCGAAGAGGCAAUGCUCACCAUAUCAACAAAUUUCAAGUACUCAAAAUGUACCACCUGCAGCUAGGAAUUUGUGGUAGAUAAUUAAUUCAGGGGCCCAAGUAUAUAUUGUCGUUGAAUUUUUUUUCAUAGUAAGAGGAAAUAUAACUCCCCAGCUCUGCACCAACUGCACACAACUAAAUUUAGAUAUCAAAAUUUAAAUCCCAAUAAAUGAAGUCAUGCAGGUACCACAACUAUAACACCAAUAGUGAUAAUUUCCUUGUUUUGCCUUUCAUAAUUUAUCAGAGUAUUUGAUUGGGCUUGGAUGGUACAAGUAGCUAGAUUGUUGAUGGCUUCAUGUAGACAUGUUCACCCAUAGAAAUUACGAACUCAUCGUAUAAUUUACUUCCUCUAUCCCAAAACAUACAACAAAACUAGUAAAAGAUGUCAAGGGCUUUUUUUUCAUAGUUCUUCAAAGGGGGAUCUCAAUUCUGGAAAAGACUGCAUGAGUGUAGAGUGGUGUUGGAGAGAUUAGUAAUGAAAGAAGUUCAUAAAGGGAUGGUGUAUAUUUUUGGACAGAUGUUUGGUGUGGUCAGUCUUCUCUAAAGGUGUUGUUUCCAAAGCUUUUUGAAAUCGGCUGUCAUCAAAAUACUACUGUGAAGGAUUUGUAUGAUGAGGGGAUAUGGAGUUUGGAGUUUAGAAGAAAUCUGGACAGUGUUGGGGAGGCUGAGCUGGAAGUGUUAAGAAAUAUGAUACAAGAUUAUGUCCUAGAGGGGGACAGAGAUAUGUUGAUCUGGCCUCAUAACAGCAAAAAGACCCUCACAACUAGAUUAAUAUAUAGAGAGAUUACUUUUGGGGGUGUAAGGGAUAUUGAGACGGUGAAUAUUUGGAAGAGUGAAAUCCCUUUAAAAUUUAAAUGCUUUCUAUAUAUGGCAGACAUAGAAAAACUUCCUUGUACAGUCCAAUUGAUUGAAUAAAAGAAAAUGGCAAGGAGGGGAUGAGUUCUUCAAGCUCUGUGGCAAGAUUGAAACUACUAAUCACAUUUUGUUUAAAUGCCCUUUAGCAAUGUUUACUUGGUGUGUGGUGAGAGAUGCUUUGGGGUUAACAAGUAAUCCGGUAAACAUUAGAGAUUGUCUGGGCUUGGUGAAUGUGUGUUGGAUGCUCUGGUUAACUAGGAAUGACCGGUUUUUUUCAGAUAUUUUGGUCAAGUCCCCUUUACAGAUCACUUUAUAAAUCUCUGUCUUUUAUUCAGUGGUGGUGCAUUCUGCUAAGGGAAAAAGAUCAAGCAAUCAUGAAAAGGGCGGUGUGAGCUGUUGAUGGGCAAACUGAACUGGAAACUGUUUUAAACACUCGGGUGAACGUUCACCCGUUUCUUACAUGUCAUCUAAAUGGUUAUGCAAAAUUUUCAAAAAAAUUGACAUGAUAGGUUAAUAUGUAAUAUAUCAUAUCACAAACAUAUAAGUUCAAAUUCGACUUCUACAAGUUGUAAUAAAAAUAACAAAUUUGACUGUGAAUAUACGUAUACUAGUUAGAGUUUAAUUUGUUAUUUUUGGUACAACUUGUAGAAGUCGAAAUUAAACUUGCAAGUUUGUGAGAUGAUAUAUUACAUAUUAACCUAUCUUAUAAUUUUUUUUGGAAUUUUUUCAUAAUUAUUUAGAUGGCAUGCAAGAAACGGGUGAACGUCUCCCCGAGAGAUUAGAAUCCAUCUCCCAAACUGAACCAAUUGAAGCCGUGCUGCCUUCCUGCAGUAGUUUAGCUGUGAAAUUUGCACUUGGCUUCUUUGUUAUGUGUUUCGAGCUCUAUCUAGGGUGUGAUAUCUUCGCUAGGAUGGAUGGUGCUUGCUUUUGAUGAGUUCCAGCGCUGUUUGUUGGCGUUAUGUUUCUGUUUUAUUUUGUUGCUUCUUUUUUUUGUGAGGUAUUUUGUUGCUUCUAUAUCUAUAUAAGACUCUGGUUGUUUAUUGGGCUUUCUACCAAAGCCGGGUCAAUGAAAUUUUGAUAUGUUUUAAAAAAACUAGUACAAGAUAUGAUAUCUGUGUAGAUUUAUAGUAUGAUGUGUGUAUUAAUUUCAUCUAUUUUAGAACAGAGAGAGUACACACGCGAGAGUAAGCCUCACGCUAAAAGCCUCCAGCAUCUUAUUAACUGAAAUCAUAAAACAUACUACAUAUUGAUCCAGUAGUCUUAAUACAUUGCCUGCAUCAUACUACUGCUACUACUCAUCAGAUGAAAGACAUAACCUCUUUGCAAUUUUUACACCCACGCAAAUCUGGCUGACACUGUUGCAAAGGCACAUAUAUAUAGACAACACAUGGUGGGUGCCCGGCCGAGGGCGAUGACGACACAAUAUUGCCAAUGGAAACGCACACAUCAGAGCUCAUGGCUCUCGCGACAAGAUGAAAUAUAGCAGAAGCUAAAAACAAGUUUGACGUCGACCUUGCACGUAGGCAUGCCCUGCCUACUGCUUGCUACGCUUCCUACGCACGCGCUAGCUUGAUCGGCGCAACGCAAGCCCACAUGCCCGCGGACGCAGACGCGCACUAGCGAGUCAUCCCCGGGUGCAUCUGCGGCGGGGCAGUCGCGACGCCCUUCCCCAUCCUCUCCAUGUUCCCCUGCCAUCCUGAAAAAUUCACGAACCGACGAACGAAUCAAUCUCAUCUGCAGAUCAAAGACGACGAACCAUGGCAUCGCCGUGGACCCGUAGUGUGGCUCGAUCGCUACAAAUCGACGCGAUUCCCCCUCUUCUCUAACAUACCGAGGGACAUGUCGAAGCCGCGGCUCUUGAGCUCGCGGUACUCCUGGCAGAGGGCGCAGGGCCCGCAGCACCAGUGGACGCAGCAGUCGCCGCAGGGCUUCUCCUGGAGCCCGUACUGCUGGUGCAGCCUGGAGCGGUAGCAGCAGGAGUAGGCGCACGCGAACCCCGUCGCCAUCGCCAGCAACAUAUACAGCGUCCCUCUCGCGCAGCACGCUUCAGUUCAUCAUGGCCAAACCACGCAUGCAGUUUGUUUAGCGAUCGAAGAGGUUGUUGGCCAUGAAACUUAAUUAAUCAGUUGCAGUGCGUGCGUGCGUCAGACAGAGGCGGCAGGCUUACAUGUGGCUCCCUGGUCGACGAUCUCCGCGAUCCUCCCGAAGGCGACGCACGGGCAGAAGAAGGUCAGGCAGCCUGCAUGCCGCGGCGUAAAUUGAAGUCACCGGAAAACGAUCGAGAUAGAUUGUGAGCAAGUGUAAUGAGUUCAAGAAGCUUACAGCCGCCGACGUCGUCGUAGCAGUCGCAGAGGCCGGAGGACCACGAGGCGACCGGAGGGUUGUUCGCCUCCCGCCGGGUAGCCGCUGGCCAUGGAUCGUCGAUCGAUUCCCGCGGGUGACUGGCUGCCGCGCGCACGCGCUCGGUGAAAUGCAAGAACCGCUCGUCGGUGGGCGAUCAGGUGAUUGGGGGGGGGGGGGGGGGGUGGUUUAUCAACGGACGGUGUGGUUAAUCAACGGACUCGUUUUUCACGUACGCGUCCGUGUAAGCCGCAACGCGCGAACGUCACGCGUCUGCACGAGCGUGUGUGAAUGUGUCCUAGGUUCGAUUGGAGAUACUUAGGUGGUCACCCCUCGCCGGUGCGAUCCAAAAGAUUCCAGGCUCCCAUGAGAUGGACUAUUAAAUCAAAGAAAAAGCUAAAAUUUAAAUUUUUAAACUUAAUUUUGAUAUUGAUUUUAAGAUAUUUUUAACGUAGUUUUUUUUUCAGUAUUAGCUUUUAAGUCACCGAGAAUACAUAUAUAAAAGUUUUAUCUACAAAUUCAUUUGUAUUCUCUAAUAAGCCGUUUUGGCUUAUUACGAAAAAAGCCAAACGAUGAGACCUCCAGAUCAAGUGACUACACGCACAAAAGUUACAUGAUUUUUGCUUUUCUGUAGGCGAUCGACUAGACGUGUAUACUGAUGUAUGCUGACCAACCGAUCGAGAUGAACGGAGAUACAGCUAAAAAUCAUGAGGGGGCUCUGAACCCCUAAACGUAGUAAGAACUGUGGCUGGCAUGGUAUGUUGUGGUAGGGUCGUCAGGGCACAGGCCAGGGGCGCCAGGCCCUUGGCUGAGCCGAGGGGCCCUAACGGGCGAUCGAUCGCCAGCGAUCGAUCCAAGCGAUAAGAUCAGCCCCCCCUCCCCCUAUAGGCAAUACCUCCUCCCACUCCUCCCCCUUCCUCCUCCCCUUCUUCUCUUCCUACUAUAGUACACCACAAAAUUUUUUAAAAAAAACAAAAGUUAAAAAGUUAGAAAAAUUUAUGUAUAGAAAUACUAUACAUAAAAAAUUUGAAUUCAAAUUCAAAUUUGAAUCGGGUAUGUAAACUUUUGACUUAUAAACUUUGGGUCUAUAAACUUUAGGUGUAUAAACUUUAAAUGUAUCGAAAUACUAUAUAUAGAAAAUAUUUGAAUUCAAAUUCAAAUUUGAAUCGGAUAUAAUUCAAAUUCAAAUUUGAAUCGGGUAUAUAAACUUUAGGUGUAUAAACUUUAGAUCUAUAAACUUUAGAUGCAUAGAAAUACUAUAUAUGAAAAAUAUUUGAAUUCAAAUUCAAAUUUGAAUCGGAUAUAAUUCAAAUUCAAAUUUAAAUCGGAUAUAUAAACUUUAGGUGUAAUAUUUCUAUACUUUAGAUGUAUAGAAAUACUAUAUAUACAAAAAUAUUUGAAUUCAAAUUCAAAUUUGAAUCGGAUAUAUAAACUUUUGACUUAUAAACUUUUCGUCUCUAAACUUUAGAUGUGUAAACUUGAGAUAUAUAAACUUUAGGUGCAUAAAUUUACUAAAAUAGGAAAGUAAUGCGGUGCCAAAAAAGGAAACCAGGUGGAGAGAGGGAGGGGGAGGGGGGCGAAUUGAUCGCUACCCCCACCCCCAGGCGAGCGAUCGCCCUUUAGCAUUUCCGGUCCAGUUGUCCACGAUCGCUCUCAUCUCCACGCACCACAGUCGUAGCUCGCCACGCUGUUGCGCAGAAGGGCUUCGGCUCUAUUAGUUGGGAGGCAACUCCGGCUCGGAUGUCCGAUGCUUUUGGGAAAAAUCGGACGCUGUUAACAACCAAAUUUGGUAAUAUCGACAUCGGGAAAGAAGAUUAGAUCGAAGCAAAGUCGGAGGCGGAGAUCGAGUUCGGAAACAGAGCAUGAAUCGACUGGAGUCCAGAUCGGCUACGAUUAGGAUCGGCUGGGUCUGAGUCGGGCUAGGUAAGCCGAUGCAGCCGAUUCCGACAAUGCAACUUGAUGUAUGACAUCGGGUUGAAUUGAGGUGCUUCAAGGUGAUUGCCGCACAUGGAUAGAGUCCUGAGAAGGCAAUUGUAUCUAUUAAUUAGGAUGUUUUAUGUAAUUUCCUUACAGAUAUGCUUGGGCAAAAGUCUGCCGCAAAGACUUAUGGUAUCUUAGAGUUUGUUAGAGAUAGUUGUCGUGUCCAUUAUGGACAUAUCUUGUAAUUUUCGGGUAUAAAUAGACCCGAGCCCUAUGUAACUUGAAAAAAAAAACACACACGUUCAAUACAAUCUCGGCGCAUCGCCACUUUUUUUGCUUUAGUUUUAUUUCAACGAGUUCUUGCUUUCGGGUUGAGCUGCAUCGGUUUCGAUCUUCAACAAGAGGUAAAACUUGUUAUGACGGCUUGCGUUCUCGGGAUUAGUGCUUCCAUCUUUAUGACACUCUAAUCUUGUUUAUGUAAUUCGUCAAGUUAUCAUAUAUCCUACAUAAUCCUUGGCAAUAUCGAUAUCCAACCUACAAUCGGCUAACAUCCGUCAAUAGAAGGCAGCCGAUUAGGUUAAAUACCGAUGUUGACUUAGAUUAUAUAGGAUAUCUACCACUCUAUGACACAUCCAACGGCUUGAUUGUCUAGAUAUUGUCAUUCUUUUCAUACUUAUAGCUGCAUCAGUUAAGUUUGACCUUAUGAGUCAUGAUUAGAAUCUUAAUCUCUAGCCCGCUUCUUGGUUGCUGAUUAGGGUAGUAUCGGAGUUUCAGCCGAUCUUACCUGAUUUAACUACUUUUUAUCCUAUAUGCUUAAUUGACAUGUUAAAUCUGCCCUUUAUGUUAAGAUCUUGCUGCAUUUAAGUAUAUUAGGCUUGUGUUUAGUAUAUUCUACUUGCUUUAAUAUCUUAAUAUAGAGUAGUAUCGGAGUAUUAGCCGAUACAUGCUAGAUCUAUCUGAUCGGCUAUGCUAUGAACGUAUAUAGUCUCAUUAUUAAUAUAUAUUUCGAUCUAAGUGAUUUAUACUGUCUCGGCAUGGCGACCGAUCUAUCCCAAUCACUUGAUUUAAGUAUAUACCGAUAUAAAGAUUAUAUAUUGGUAAUAUCUGCAGCCGAUCGAGUAGAUUCAGUCCUUUCUUAUUUAUUAAUGACUGCCGAUCGAUGCAUAUACGACAUCUGCUCAAAGAUAAAUGAUAUGUCAUCGGUACCUAGCCGAUUGGCUAUCAUUUAUAGAUUUAACUGCGGUUUCUUUGCUUCUAUUUCUUGUUGAUUACAGUAUCAAAUCAACUGGCACGCUCAUACAUUCGAAGGCGAGCUUUGAACCUGCACUGGAGUUAAGCAGAUCUCCCAGGCCUCGUGUUUUCUGUCAACAGACACAUGACGCCAGCAUCCGAUUUACGUGCAAAACUAUUUUAAACUGAUUUUUCUCUUAAAUUACUUAUCCAAAUUAUGAUCUGGUUGUACCGUUAAAUUCGUUGCAAUUAAAUCUUCUAAACAAGACCACACAUGGAUAUAUUCCGACGAAAUUUUUUUUAGCUUAUUAUUGAAUUAUUUUUAAAUGUUGUACGAUGUUACAACAGGUAUAUCGGAAUUGUUUCACUAAAUAGAUCAAAAAUGUUUCACUCGUUUAAAUCGGGUGUUGUUUCACCUUAUAUAAAAACAAUGUUUCAACAAAUAGCGAAAGAAUGUUUCAGUUCACUGCAACAUUUUAUCCAUACAUAGUGAAACAUUAUAAGUACACUAGGUGAAACAUUUUUCGGUGGAACAAAAAAUGAAACGAAUUCCCUUAAUAGAGAGUUUUCAAAAUAUGUGGGUUUUUUGUUGCAAUGGAAUAUUUCAGUUAACUGCAACAUUAGAUCAUAGUGAAACAUUGUGAGUACACUAGGUGAAACAUUUUUGGUGGAACAAAAAAUAAACCAAAUUCCCUUAAUAGGGGGUUUACUAAAUAUGUGGGUGAUUUGUUGCAACGGCGUGUUCCAUAAAUAUCAAAAUCCACUGCAACACUUGAUCCGUACAUAGUGAAACAUCGCGAGUACACUAGCUGAAACAUCGUAAAACUACUGGUUAAAACAUCAAAAGAGAUCAUAUGCAACAUUCAAAAAAAAAUAUCAAUAGAAAAGCUAAAAUAUUUUUUAUCGAAAUAUAAUCAUGCGUGGUCUUGUUGUAAAGAUUUAAUCGCAACGAAUGCAACGGUGUGAUCGGAUCGUAGAUUGGAUAAUUAGUUUAAGAGAAAAUUCAUUUUAAAACUAUAUGAAAUAGGAGCGGCAGAAGGCGUGGGUGUCCGAGGCGUCCAAUUUUUCCUACAGCCGUCGGGCGCCCGGCGCGCAGUAUUUCCCUAGUUGUGACUUGAGUCGUACGCCUGCCGUGGGGAGGGCUUUAGCACUCUUUUACCACGGCCGCGGAGUGCAUACGCCGCGGUCGAUAUGGCAGUACAGUCUAGCUGGCCGCCGUUCAUCGAACCGCUGUUGUUCUGCGUUUUUCUUCGUGGGCUGCAAAACGAGCGAAACCAACCAAACUCGAUCUGUCCUCGCCGGCCGGCCGGGACCAGCUCCGCAACUGGGGUGCGCUGAUGCGCAUGUGUUUGGUGUGGCGAGCUAAGCUACACUCCUUUCAUCCCUAUCCGUUCCAAAAGUAUGUUUUUGACAAUCACUCAUCCGAAUACGUAGUUAAAAUUAUUAUAUUUUUAAGACAGAUGCAGUACAUCUUUGUCUCUUCCAUUUAUCGCAAAAUAACUUCAUUUUUAUUCUCUUACAUCGUCUAUUUCAAUGGAAGUGUAUUUUUUUGAGCGAGGGAAAAUUAAUAGGGAGGAAAAAUUAUCCAGCUGCCCCUGUUGAAUAAGGGGGUUUAGAGAGAGAGUGGUUGAGGGUGAAAUAGAGAGAAAUUUAAAUAUGAUGUGAUUCACCGAUGGAGAAAAGGUUUUUAACCCUGGUCCCGGACUAAAGAUACCCAUCUUUACUCUCGGGUGAAAUACCUAAGACUAAAGAUCGAUCUUUAGUACCGGUUGGUAACACCAACCUAAAGAUGGGACUAAAGUUUUUUUUUCCUUUUUUGCCACUUGCAUCUACUGAUUUCGAGCACCACAAAUCAUUCAUAAAAUCAUCCAUAAAUCUUUCCACAAAUCCCCAAAUACAUCAAGCUGCAUUUUCUCCAUAUCCCAUUCACUCUAACCCUUACUACCAUCAUCAUAUCACAAGCACAUAAACAAAAAACGUGAACAGAAGAAACUAGAAAGAACCAUGAUGAACAAAAGACAUAAACGCCGAGGCCGUGCGCUGCCUCCCAUCCCGCCGUCGCGGCUGCUUCCGCUGCACCGGCUGCGGCCACCUGCCGCCUCCCAUCCCGCUGCCACGGCGGCUUCCGCCGCGCCGGCCAGCGCCUCCUACCGUGCGCCGCCUCCCAUCCCCCGCCGCACAGGUCACCUAUCGCCCGCCGGAGGGGAGGGGGCCGAAGGAGGAGAUGGGGCCGGGUGAGAGAAUGAGGGGAGGAGAGGAGGUGAAGAGAUAAGGUUGAGACUUGAGAGGACGGGUGAGAGGAGAUAAUGAGAUAGAAUAGGUCGGGGCAGUAAAUCGAAUUUUUUAGCGCGCGGUUGCCGAAUUUUUUUCCCGGUUGUUUAACAACCGAGACUAAAACUAGUUCUUUAGUCCCGGUUGGUAACAGAUAGUAGAGAGGUCUGAUACCGUCUGGUAUUUUUUGAACCGGGAUUAACAAUGAUCUUUAGUCCCGAUUGGUAAAAAAGUGUUGUUAGGUUUUUCAACCGGGACGAACGAUAUUCUUUAGUCUUGGUUUCUAUUUAAAUCGGGACUCUUGUGAUUUUUGGCCAACCCAUCAAAGAUGAUUUUCUCCAGUAGUGAUUAAUAGGAUAAGUAGUAAAUUGCACUUUUCUUGGCUGAAGAUAAUACUUAAUAUCGGUUCGCAAAUUGAUCUCUUUAUUCCUUCGAUACCCCUACUAACAUCUAACUUAUCAAACCAUUGAUAUUGGAUUAUUUUGUCUUCAUCUUAUUUUGUAUCCAUAAGAUCCAAGAUGAAAUUAUUUUGGGACGCAUGGAGUAGCCUAUACAGAUAAGGGCAGCUUCAGUUCUCGAUCAACUACUGCACUUCACGGAAGGCGAACAAAACUUUGGUUCGGUUUGACAGAUGCAACGAUAGCAUUUAUUUGUAAGACCCAUGUAAAAUACAAUUUUGCUUCCCUGUAAAAUAAUCUUGAUUAAGCCAUUUAGGUUUAUCCUUCACUGCUCUUCACCAAUACUCAAAUGAGAAGGGCUUCAAUGUUUGCUUCACCUCUUUGUAUUUUUCAUAAACCAACUCCAUAAGUUGCUCAUUAAAUUGUUCACUUUAAUAUAUGUGUUUUUAUUUCCUGUCCAACAUCCAUGUGACUUUGGAACAAGUAUGUUGGUUGUAUUUCAAUUAUUCUUGUACUGCAUAUGUGUUCUUUUUGUUCCUUUAAAGAUAUACGUGCUGUAUUCUUCUAUGACUGGCUUCCAGUAAUAAGGCUCCUUUAAUUGCCAUUGAUUGGGUCAUUGGAGUUGUUCAACUAAGCACUUAUUAACCACAUGUUGUCUUCUUCAGACCAAUGCGUGCACUCGCCUUUCUUUUCCUCAUCUGAACCAACAUCGCUCUAGCCUUCAAUCCUAUUUGGUCUUUGUUUGUAUUUUGUGUAGGAGCUAUUGGACAAGUAAUCAAAGAAACUAAGCCCUCACAUCUCGAACCACUACCACCAUCAACUCUAAACAAAGCUGCUAAACCAACUACUAAUAAUGGACCGAUAGCUAUACUAGGGGUGGGCAAAAUAAGACUGUACCGAAAAGACCGAGACCGAUAAAUUCGGUUAGUAGUUUGGUCUCAGCUAUUGAAAGACCAAAAUUUAUUCGGGUAAUUCGGUCAUUAGCCUCGGUUAACCGAAUUAACUGAGAAAACCGAAUUCUAGCCUAGUAGGCUCGGAGGCCCAAUAGGCCCAGUAAACCAAACCCUAGAGGCACUCAACCCUCAGGCCUCAGCCAUAGAGACAAGAGGCACCGCAAGCCACAGCGCUGCGCCGCGCCGCCAUCUAUCCUCAUCCAUCGCGCUCGGGCUCACGGUCUCGCGCGGCGCGGACCCGCGGUCACGCCGCCUCCACCCUCCGCGGCUCUGCCUCCAUCGUGCCGCCACACCGCCUCUGCCCUCCAGCCAGCCCGCCUCCACCUCGGCGCCGCCUCCAACAACAGCGAGCCCGCUUGCGCCUCAGCGCGACGACACCGCCUCCAGCGACAGCGAGCCCGCCUCCACUUUUUUUUUGUCUCUCUGAAUAUUUUUAAUUUGCUAGUCGCGUGUGCAGAUGCUGAGAUGCUUUGUCUAUCUAUUGAUAUAUUGAGUUGCUUUUUGAUUUGUCGAUCAAAUAUUUGCGGUUUGUUUUUUGUGAUUUUUUUUGUUCUAACUUCUGAGGACUUCUGCUCGGGUUAGUUCGGUCAUGAACGAGACCGAACAGAACUAACCGAGGACCGAAUUGUUCGGUCUUCAGUUUUGUUCAGGACCGAUCUGUCUUGAGUUAUUGAUUACCGAAAUUUUUAAGAGACCAAGAAACCGAACCAAACUUUUCGGUUAGACCGAAUGCCCACCCCUAAGCUCUACUACCCCAUGAAAAUUUCCAUGAGCAGAAAUACUAUGUUGAUAACUUUGAAGUUGGGAAUUGCCAGUAACCUGGCGGAACUUCAAAUGGGUUUAAAUUUUAUGGGUAGCGUUAUGGUUGAAAGUUGGGGCCAAACCGAUGGGAUGCUAUAUUCCUGUGUAAAUGGGGUGGGAAACAAUGGGAUUGUUGGUUGUUUUGAGAUCAGAAUUUGAGACUGUAGAGUUCAGAUAAUUUGUAAAACUAUGUAUAUAAUAUGGAGUCAUUGCCCAUUUUUGAGGGUCCAAAUUAUGAAGUGGUAUCGACAAACAAACAUGUUUACAAAUAUAGAGGAGAAGCCAACAAAGUUGGCCAACCAAUGGCUUGCACGAACCAUGAUUUAUUUGGCUAGGUUUGACGGAUGCGGCAACAGCCAUGUCUAACAAACAAUAUGUUUAAGGGGCUGUCUAUAUAGGAAUCGAAUGAUUUUUGAGGCUUGAAUCAUUCAGAUUUUGAUACCAUUGGAUCAACAUCUAACAGCUCACAAUAUUACAAGCCCAAAAAUAAUAUAUAUAUAUAUAUAUAUAUAUAUAUAUAUAUAUAUAUAUAUAUAUAUAUAUAUAUAACUUCAGAUUUUUUGACUUUUUUUUGACACCAUCGUAUCGGCUCAGCCCAAUCAAAGGCCCAUUGAGCCCAAUUAUAAACCCAGAUAAAAAAAAGCCCAAUUUAAUAUCAAACAAUAGAAAACUAAAAAACAAAUUUGCACAAAAAAAUCUUCAAUAGCCCAAUUAAAAGGGUCAGCCCAAUUAAAAGCCCAUUUAGCCCAAAAAGCCAAAAUUGGAAAACUUUACUGCACGUGAUUACAGCUCACGUUUUUCCAGCUCACGAUGUACCACUUCUUUCUGGAAUAGAGUACAUCUCCAAUCCCAGAUCAAUCUCGCGCCAUGGAAGAAAGUGAGGAGAAGGAAAAGCGAAGCUUACUCCACUAGAUAAAAGAUAUUGGAUAUGGAGAUAGUAAGAAUCAAAAUCCAGAUUCAAACAAGCCUUCAAAUCGAAAACAGAAGAGAUCCAAACCUUAAGAAAAGUUAGAAUGCAAGAAUCAACAAGAAGGUAGGAAAAGAAGAAAAGUUGCAAAUCAAAGCCAGAAAAAGUAAAAUGCUUAAUUCUUUGAAUUAACAGGACAAAUUCAAAAAUUACAGUAAAUUUCUAAUAGAAUUACAGUACUAUUAAACUGUAACUGCAAUAUGUUUGUACUGUAAAUUGAAAUACAGAGAACAAUCUGAAACUUAGUAAAAGUCAGCCUGUCUUAGUCAUGUAACAAUCUAAAAUCAAUUUGAAACUAAUAUGAAAAAUAUCUACGAGCAUCAGGAAAUCAGCCUCUAUGACUCAUUUUGAAAUCGUCAAUAACUUUUGUUCUUUACUCAUGCAAGAUUGUCACUGAAAGAUUAAAAAUACCUAACUAAAUUGCACAUAGCAUAUAGCAUUUGCAAAAUUAUAGCCUCAAAAACACCCUGAAUGCUUCAAUAGAAUUAGUAACUGUCAUCAAUCAUAAAAAUUCAGAACAUCAAUUAUAUUUCUACCUGGUCUAGCAAGAAUUGCACAUUCUUGUCAUCAACACAAAUUAGGUAGCAAUGCAAAUUGUCACCAUAAUCAAUCUUUCAAUUAGAAAACCCUAUUUAACCAUUUGCAGAUUACAUAAAACUGUUCAAAUGCACACACUGUACACCCUAACAAUUUCAAGGUUUUCAGCUAUUAUACAACUGAAGCAUAAAACUAUUCAAAUACACACAUUGUACAAAAUUACAUUGUAAUUAUACCAUUGGAGAUGAUGUAAUUAAUAAAAAAGUGAGUUAAAAAAUUAUACCAUUGGAGAUGAUGUAAAAUUAUCAUUAUCUUGAACAGCUUCAUUAACAUCAUCAUUAAUUUCAUUCUCUGGUUCAACACCUUCAUUCCAAAUUAAAAAAAUGCAUCCAUUACAGUUAACUAUGUAUUAUUUUACAUGUUUCAAAACAUAUUACAGUUAUUUAGUUAAGGAAUUACAACAAAAGAAAGAGUGUAAUUUCAGUAAUAAAUUACUGUAAUUGAUGAAUUAAUGCACUAUAGUAAUAGUAAUAGAUAUAGUAUUUAUAGUGCAAAAUGAUAAAGUACACAUGCAUACUAAUUUCAAACCAUGCAUUUAACUUGGUGACAUAAAAAAGAAUAAAAAAUGCACAUCAUAUUUCUCCUAGUGAAGAUAUUAGCCACCAUUUUCAUUUUCAUUUUCAAGAAACAAGUCCUCUAAUUUACAUACAAACAAACAAACUGGACAAGAUCAAGAAGAACACACAAAAGUAGCCAAGGACAGCAAAGUCAAUUAUUCAAAGUUACAAACAAAAAUAUUAAAAGAGUAACAUACUUACAAAACAGCAAAAAAACAUUCAUUAUAGCAAACUAUGAACUGUUUUACAUGUUUGCAAAUAUAUUACAGUUUUUUUAGUUAAAGAAUUACACCAAAAAAAUUUUGUAAUUUCAAUAGUACAUUCCUGUAACUGACACAAAUUACUAACUCAGUUCAUCAUUUAACACAGUACUACAUCUAGAGUUCAUUGUCUCAAAUAAGGCAGAUAAAAACAAAAUCUAAAUAUCAGAAAAAGUCACUUCAGAAAUAAACUUAAACCUAAAUACAUCAAUAGGCCCUAAUAUAUACCUGAACUCUAGUUAUUGUGGACAAUUUCCAAAUAGACAAUGUUAAAGACAUCAGUAUAAAGUAAAAGGAGAUAAAAGAUCAUGUUUACUUCUGCAUUUAUUAAUCUGACUGUGUAAAAUUCUGUAUAGAAAACAAAUCAAUCAUCUGAAAUCUACCAUGUGAAGUGAUCUCAAUCCAUCAUACAUGUUUCACAGAUUGAUAGAACAAAUUUAAGUUACACAGUUUCAAUUCAAAAACAGAAACUGAUCAGGUAAGAUAUUACAGUUAUUUAGUUAAAAAAUUACACAAAAAAGGUGAAAUUUCAAUAGUAAAUUCCUGUAACUAACACAAACUACUAACUCAGUUCAUUAUUUAACACAAUACUAUAUCUAGAGUUAAAUUUCAGAAGUAACAUGGAAGUAAAUUGAUAAAGUUUCAAACAUACAGAUCAGGAAGUAUUCUCUAUAAAAAAAAGUGGCCUCACAUCAGGCAGAUAAAUGCAAACCUGAAUAUCAAAAAAAGUCAUUUUAGAAAUAGAACUAGACCUAAAAAAUUCAGAAUUGUUGUAAUGUCAUGAUAAUUUUACCUUACAUUUUUUUUAGAUAAUUUCAACGAACUAGUCAGUGUAACGUAUCGAUAUCAACAAAAUUCAAAACUCUUAACAUAUCAAAAAGUUAGUGUGCAGUACUUAUCUUUUUCGCAUUCAUGGCUUCCCUCUUAGGACACCAAUUCAAAUCAACUUCCCUGCAAGAGAAACAAUGCAGCACUAAUCAGAACAAAAUUUCCAACCAGCCAUAUGGAACAAAAUCAAAGAAAAUGGAAGAAACAACCUCAGGUAAACAACAUCUGGAGACAUAUGGAAAAAAAGAUUCUAUGAACUACUCAAAUUAUCUUAUACUGAAAUCAGAAUGGUAACCGUGUGUUGGAAUGCCAAACAACACAUUAUGCAUCUCUGUAUAUUUUGCACAUUAUCAAUAGAGAUUAUUCAAACAAACUAUAGUCCAAUUGAUAAUGAAUUACAUAUAAAAAAUAUUGUAAUUUCAGUACUAAUUUUAUGUAAGUGAUGCAAAAUCUAAAAUUUGAAACAACCAAUAUAUUAGAAUUUGUGCACCAUGUGGCAUUUAAUGUAAAUGUAUACCUUUAGUUCCAUAUAACUUUUCAAUACAUCAAAUUAUAAAUCAAUUCAUAAUUAUAUUAAAAAUGAACAUAGUUUAUAAAUCAGAUGAUCACAAAUAUAAAAUAUUUGAUUUGAAAUCAUAAUCAAUUCAAUGUUUGAAUCAAAGCAAUCUUUUAACUAUUAAGUUCAGAAACUUACAAGUAGAUCAUUCAUACAAACUGUUUCACACUUAAAUACAGUAUGCAUGGUGUAAAUAAAAAUUUAUUCAUGCAAAAAUAGUAGAAGAACAAUUAAUGUAUAUUAUCAUAUAUAAUUGAAUCUCAAAUCUGUUUAGAAACAUAAAGUACUAUUUUUAUCAAACAAUGGAUCAGAACUUGAGUGCUUAUCUGAUAACAUCUCACUAGAGGUAUAUAAUCCCUUCAUAAUCCCUUCUAUUUCAAAAACAUGAUGGUGCCAACAAAGUUUCAGGGAUCUGCAAAAUCUGAUUACUAAUGCAAAUUUUAAUUUCAGGAAUCUGCCAUAUUAUUUUUCAAAUAUAGCACCAAUAGAGUACCAUUCGAUUUUCAUCCUAAUGUAUAAACUCAAAAGUUAUGCAAUUACAGUACAUAUGUGAUACAAUUACAGGAAAAAAACACUAUAAUUUUGAUAGAAGCAUCAUAUAAGUCAACUUUAACAAUUACAAUACGUUAUUUGCAGGAAAGAAAGAAACAAGGAGGGAAAAAUCAAUAGUUGUAUGAAGACACAUGCAUCAAAUGCAUAAGAACUUGAAUACCAUAGACAACAAAUGCAUGAAUCAAAAUGACAAUUUCAGUUUAUUCCACAUAUUAAAGUUAAAACUAGAGAGCUCUAAUACACUUACUUUCACAUAUCACAGAAAGAUACAAUGCUAUGGGAAAACAAACGUUAACUAUAGGUUAGUAUUUCUCACCAGAUAACCCACAAAACACUGAUGUGUUUACUAAAAAUGUUAAUUAUCAUCAUUUGGGAAAAUAAUUAAAAUGUGCAAGGUUGCUCACUUCAAAACAAAAUUACUGGUCAUUCUUCUACCACGCUGUUUGCCAAAAACAUUGUAAUUCAUAUUUGUGUUUCCAAGAUUAGCUCAUCAAAUCUAUAGUUUUAGUUGAUUGUUCAUUUUUCAUUAUUAAGAAUUUUGUUUGGAUUAUCAUACAUCAAAAUUUCAAAAUACAGGUCGAUUGGAGGAAAUAAACAUUUCAAAGAAUACAGAGUUGCUUCGAAUGGAUAGCAUCUAUUCAAACAAAAAAGGUGAUCACAAUACUUCUACUGUUUAUUAUGUGGGGAAUAAAGUUUACUUAUUUACAUAAUUUACAGUAGUAUUUUGAUAGAAUAACAUAUUUACUACACUGUAAAUUUAAUAUAGACCUGUUGUAAUUGAUACUAUUUUAGAUUAGAACAAGUGUUUUAGCAUUAUACUAGUACUUAUUAGUUUAGAGACUUACCAGAAUUUUGAUCCAAUUUUGGUUGAUCAACUUGCAAAAUAUAAUUAGUCGCAAUAGAAAAAGAAUCAUGAACUAGUUUAAAAUCAAAUACUUAUAGUACUAGAUAUAAAUUGGAUCAUAUAGUUAUAGCACGAUUAAUUUUAGAACUAUUUUAAUUAUUUACAUGCUUUCUUAUUUAAGAAUACAUGUUUACAAGUCAAAUAGUCACAUUCAAACUAGUAUGCAGUUCUUAAAUUUUCCACUAUCUAAAAAAGAAAUAGCAGUAGCAAUUGAAUAAAUUCAAUUCCAAUAUCAAACCAACUGACUCAACUCAUUAUUUACAGGACUCAUAGGAACAAGGAGAAAGAAAGAAAGAAUUGUAUGAAAAUACAAGAAACAAAUUCAGGUAAAUAUUUUAAACUUAAUGUCAGAAUUGUGCUGAACUCAUAUAGAUUAAGAAUUAGUUGUGCAUUUAUUUCCAGGAAUUUUAACUAUAUUAUAGAAUCUUUCCAUUGCAUUGAUAACAGGAAUCAAGGAGAAAGAUGAUCUGGACAGAUCAGGGGACACAAGCAACCAAAUGCAGACAAGCAAUCAAAAUUUCAAUUAGGUGCAUGCUGGAUGCAUUGUAAAAAUAAAACUAGAACUAGCACUCCAAGAAUGUAAAUCAAUCAGUUGUGCAUAUAUGUAUGCUUUCUAUUUUUUUAGACUAGCCCAUUUCUCCAUGUGUCCUUUUCCUCUCAAUCCUGGACAAUCAGCUCAAGAAAAAAAUGCUCAUAGGAAGCAAAGAAGCUCUUGUCCAGAACCAUACAUAAUCAUAUCCCACUAAUUGGUCUUACAUAUAAAUCAAACUAGAAGAAAAUCAUGUUUAGCUACUACUUCUAAUUUGACAUGAGGGACUAAUCAUUUUUAUACAAUUUAUUGUUGCAGCAAAAGUGCAUCACUAUAUAUUUAUAGCAGACUUGGUCAUGAAAAUGUCAGACAAUCUGCAUGAUAAUACUAAAAUGUUGGAAACUCAUUGAUGCAUUUCAAAAUUUUCAAUAACUUGUGCUCUUUACAGAUCUAAUAAAAUUAGUCUAAGGUGGUCACCGAAGAGUAAAAAUACCAAACUAGAUUCCACAUAGCAUAUAUAGCAUCUGCAGACUUUUAGCAUAAGAAGGCCAUGGAUGCUUCAAGAGAUUCAGUCACUGUCAUCAAAAUAACAUGUGUUAAUUCUGAUUCAGAGAAGGUCAAUAGCAUGCUAGCAAGGCUGAACAAUGCAUCGCAAAGGCUUCUCCUCAUCUUCUACUCUAUGUAUCAUGAGGAACUUGUACCACACAGAUCCAAAUCGGAACAUCGCAUAGCACAAAUCCCCGCAGGAAACAACUAAAAUACCCUAAACAAAUGGGAAAAACUCACAGAAGGGGCUCACCGUGACAACUCACACCACACAACUCGAAAUUGAAACAUUGCAUAGCACAAAUCCCCACAAAAAAACUAAAAUACCCUAAAUAAAAGGGAAAAACUCACACAAGGAGAUCACCAUGUCAGAUUUGAAUAAGAAACAAGGGGAUUUACCGAGUUACAUUCGAAAAUCGAACACAUCACAUAUCCAAAUCGAAACAACUAAAACCUUGCAGCACACAAGGAAACAACGACAAGCUCGGAUCGAGGACGACGAGGACACAAAACACACUACACAACGACUAUGAGACUCACCGGAGAAAGGAAGAACGAUAUUGCCAACGAAUCGUCGAUGACUCCCACAAAUCAGCGUCAAAAACCCACCACUACAAAAUACAAAUAGUCGACGCGUCGAUGAACAAAGCAGUAAACAAACGGGAACUAAAUUCACUGGAGAAGAGGAGAAGGAGAUCACCGGCGAAUCGAUGUUGUGUCGCCUUCCACAAUCGCCGCAUCGCGUGGGACGAUGAGAGCAAGAAAUUUUCUCGCCCUGUAUGCUCUCACUCUCUCUCUCUCACAGACACAGUCACUCAGUCUCUCUCUGUCAACAGUGCAAGUGGGUCCCAUGGUAGACCAAAAGUCCAAGCUAUACACCCGAAGCAAUUGUCCAAGCCCAAAGCAAAUUCAGAACCAAAAGCCCACACAGAAUAAAAAGCCCACAGACCCAACUAGCAAAGGCCCUACCAGCUUGCACGAAUCUCAAAUAAAUCAAACGGCCAACAAAACGAAUGAUCCAGCUAUAGAAAAUCAGUCGACAGCCAUAUAGCCAUCCCGAUGGGGGCGGGGCAUUAAUCGGUUUAUUUCGACUCCUCUUUGGAGGUGGAUUUUUUCUCAAAUUCGUAGCAGUCGACUGAUACAAUUGCUAUGUUCGGUCUUUGUUUUCACAUGGUUCGAUUUUAUCCUCGCAUGGAGCUGCUCUAAGGAUAAGCCUGUCGUAGGAGAACCGCCACUGAACUCUGGUUGGGGUGUUGUGCACGGCCUGCUUUUCAGGUAUUUGACCGACCAGGACAGGAAAACGAGUUGGGCCUUGACGUCAGUUCGUGGUGAGGAAAAAGCACCAAAGGUCCCUCAACGUGUCAGCGAGAUAAAAAACAUCCUCCAACCACAAAACCAGAUAUGCUAGGUCCCUUAACUAUACAAAACCGGUCACCCGAGGUCCUAGGGCAGUAUUGACGCUGGAUUUGUCCUACGUGGCGGCUGAGUCAGCGUGGGACCCACAUGGGUCCCACAUGCCAUGAUGCCACGUAGGACAAUCUCUUCCCCUCUUCUCUCCCUUCCACUCUCUCUCUCACUUUGGCCGAUGACGGGCGAUGCGGCGGCGGCUUGGUGCGGCACCGACUUGGUGCGGGAGAGGAGGAGGUCCGGCAACCGGCAGGGGAGAAGAGCAGUGGUGAGGCGGGAACAUGCUGGGGAGAAGAGCGGUGGCGGCCUUCUCCAUGCGCGGGCGGCGGGGGAGCAGCUGGAGGUCCGUCGAGGUGAGGCGGCAACGCACGGUGGCGCGGGCGGCGCGGCGGAGGGGAGGGCCGGCGCGGCCGGCGACUGGCGAGGGAGGAGCCCGGCGGAGAGGAGAACCGAGGAAUUCUGGACACCGGGAUUCUGCCCCACGUUGUAGAAUGGCUAAUGCUGGGAGUUGGAGCUGCUGGCGAAGUUGGCCUAGUCGCGGUUGGGUUGGAACGCCAAGUAUUGCAUUGGCUGGUUCACCACGCCCGCGCCGCCGGGCGGGAGCAUCCACACAGUCACCGGUGACAUCACCUGCUUGCCGCCGUCACUGGCUGCCGGCAUGGCGAUGAACGGGAUUGUGCUGCCUCCAGCGGCUGUGGGUGCUGUUGCGGAUGAGGCGGGGGCGAGGCCGCUGGAUAUUGAGAUCGAGCCACCGCCGUUGGCUUGGAGGAGGGGGGCAGCAACAAAGGGGUAGUAGACCGCGGGGGAUGAGCCAUGGCCAGCGCCUCCACCGGGUCGUCGGUCGCCGCGCGCGUCGGCUGGAGCUUGCUACGCCGCUUUGGGGUGGGCUCAUCGCCGCGGGCAGCCGCCGCGACGGCGGAGGGCGACUCAGUGGGGAUGCGGAGGAUACCGUCGACAAUGGUGGUGAUCGCGGGCACGGUGCCCAUCCCCGUGGCGGUGUCGAUGGCAGGCUCCGACUGCUGCAUGAACCAGCGGAUGGUCUCGCUGUCGGACUUGUGCCCUAGCUCGCGGGUGAGCCAGCGGAUGGUCUCGCAGUCCAACUUGUCACCUGAGUUGGCGCCGCCGCCGCCGUCGCGUCGCCGCCUUGCUCUCCUCCCCACCCGUUGGGCGGCGGCGCCGGCCUGCCCAGAGCGGCGGAAGGAGAUGAGGAGGCUGCCUAGAGAAAGAGAUGAGGAAGGGAGAGAAGAGGGGAAAGAGGGAGAGGAGGCUGACGUGGAUAACCCUAACAUGUGGGCCCCACGUGGGUCCCACGCUGACUCAGCCGCCACCAAAGGACCUCGGGUGACCAAUUUUGUAUAGUUAAGGACCCCGCAUACUGGUUUUGCGGUUCGAGGACAUUUUUAUAUCCCGAUGACAAGUUGAGGGACCUUUGGUACUUUUUUCUUAGUGGUGACAAUUGUAGCUCAUGGGCCGAGCUCUCAGUUACCGGAUGCAAAUAAUUUAGCACCGCUCGUAAGAGUGGCAAAUAGUUAAUUAUUCCGACGGCUAUUGGUUCCGGCCAAGGCCAUUUGGCACGCUUGCUCUGCUUGUUAUCAAGAUCAAAUACAGUAUAUCACGAAAAGCUCUUACUCUCUAAAUCGAAGUAUAUAACUGAAGACCAUUGUGCUGUUACCUCAGGCUGGUCUCCAAGAUUCAGAUGCCUCUUUUGAUGUAUAUUUCAGCUAGUACUAUUUUUUAGCACAUAUCAUGCGUACUGUCUCUGCUUACGGAUACAAAAGUUCAAACUCUCCAUGCUCCCGUGAUAAUGAUAUCCCUCGUAGGUAUCUUAUCACAACACUAACAUGAGUACGGUAGUUUUCUAUACUGUCACUUGUCGUAUACUAGUUAUAUAGUCGGCAGUAAAACUCCUCGGGGGGGCCUGAAGAAGCACGAGGCAGACACAGCAGCAGUGGAAAUAAACAGCGGUUCUGAUAACAACGUGGGCCUCUGAUACUCUGCAGGUGACGCAAACGGAUUCAAAUUCUGCUGGGAAAAAGGAAUCAUGGCAAAGAGACAAAAGCGGAAGAAACGCGGGAGCAAACAAACGGCUUCGACCAGUACCACUGCUAUUUCGCGCAUCUCAUCUCAACCUUGUCGUGUUCCUGUUUUGAACUCCCUCAACGUUCAAACACUGGUUCCCCCAGAUCAAGAGUGAUAUUCAGUGUAUCAGACAUAGUAGUGGUACUGUCUGCUUUGCGGUACCAGGAACGCUUGUACGGUGUGAUUUUGGCAUACUUGCAUGAUUGUGCAAUGCACAUCGGAACUUCGGAUAGAUGAAGAGCUGGAUGCUUGUAAUCUAAACGAACUGAUCUGUUCUAAUCUGGCAAGAUCAUGUCAAGAACAAUCCGAAGCCAAGAAUUACAAUGUUGUUCUUUCACCCCAAUAUUUGCGGUAUCAUACAUUGUUCAGGUUCAGGGCAGGAUUCCCGCCAUGGCAAUUCUUGGCUCCCCUCACCUCCUUGCACACCCUCUCCAGCAUCCCCAGGAAGUCCCUGACGAUGACGAAGAUCCUGAGCGGGCUCGCCUCGUCCUUGCCGACGUCGCCAUGGUAGUACUCGGUGAUCUCCCUGACGUGCGCCAGCACCCGCCGCUCGCCGUCCUCCAGCUCCCGGAUCACCUCACCGGCGUGGGCGACGAACGGCGCCAUGAACGCCACGAAGCACUGGUUCCUCUCGUCGCCGGACAGGUCGCUCCCGACCAGCUCCUUGAUCCGGGACAGGCCGUGCGACAGGCCGGACACCGAGGUGGUGAGCACGUCCAGGUCCACGGUCGCCGUCUUCCUGACGUUGGUGAGCUCGGCGCCGAGCCCCGCGGCGAUGUCCGCCGCCUCGGCGGCGCGCGACCGGGUCAUCUCCUGCACCACGAAGUGCAGCAGCGUGGUCUUCCCGUCGGUGCCCUUGACGUCGGCGAGCUUGAGCAGCGCGUCGAGCUUGAACGCCAUGGCGCCGCCGCGGGCAGUCCCGACGUUCAUCCGGUUCCCGGUCUUGAGCACGGCCUCCAGCAGCUUCAGGAACAGCUUGCUGGACAUCAGCUCCCUGCACGCCUCCUUCCAGACACCAAGAACGACACGCCAUUUCCAAACUCAGAAUCUUAAUAGUAUAAUCACAAAGCUGCAGAAUCAGUAAGACCGCCAUUGCGACGAACACCCCAAGAUUCACCUCGAGCAUCUCGAACGACUUCCUGAUGUGGCCGACCUCGUCGGCGAAGGUCUCCCGGUACAGCAUCGCCUCCACUCGCGCGAACGCGCACGGUAUCGUGAGCACCACCUUGAGCAGCCUCUCCGCCGGGACGAGGCCGUCGACGUCGCCGUCGUAGGCGGACAGCUUGUCGGCCUCGUCCUUGGCCGGCGCCAUCUUGAUGAGCGCCUCCAGCUGCUGCGCCGACAGGCCGUUCCCUGCGACCAAUCCAUCCAAACCAAGAGAAAGAAAGAAAAAACUCAAAUUAAACACACACACCAACUGUGCCGUGCAGGACGGUGUUGAUUCGUGCUCGAUCGUGCCGUGCGGUUUGGUUACCGUGCAGCAGGGCGGCGAAGAUCUGCUCGGCGGUGGCGCUGACGGCCUUCAUCAGGAUGGUGAAGUUCUGCAGCCUCUUGGUGUCGAGGACGUGGUGGCCGAGCGAGGGGCUCCGGCUCUGCACCUCCUCGUGCUUCGUCGAACACCUCGCGUUGUACCCGAACAGCGACUCGAUCAUCUUCUCGUCCAGCCUGCGAAUCAGACGUGGUUUGAUCAGCGUGUGGCGCGAAAACGUGUACGCUCGUGUGGUCGAAGUGUCGAACACCUCGAGCUCGUUCGUAGUCGUAGGGGAGAUGGGGUGGGUUUUGGGUGUACGUACUCGAACGAGCUCGAUCGGAUCCUGUCCCACACCAUCCGCCGGUUGGGCGCGGCGCGCACCUUGUCCCAGUGCAGCGGCUUCAGCUUCGGCAGCGGCGCGCCGUUCUUCCCGACCGCCGGCGCCCACGGCCUGAACAGAGGAGGCGGCGCGGGCGCCGGCGGGAGGAUCGGGCCGCCGCUGCUCUGCUGUUUCGGUGCGAGCAGUGGCGGUGGC
rnacentral:lncRNA from 1 species